rnacentral:lncRNA from 1 species
AUGUAAUCCCAAUUCUCGUGGCUGCCUUCCAUUGCCAAUUGAACAAGCUUCGUUUUUUCUGCAUCCAGAGAAUUGCAAGGUCAAAUCUUGACAAUGUUUGUCUUGAGAAAGAGCUUCCUGAUGAAGUUUCAAGAGAAAUCAAAUCACUCCGUGUCAAAUCUAACCAGGAGUCUGAAGCUACUAUAGCAGAAGUGGAUCCUAUGCAUGCAAAAAUAGUCAGAAGAAUCCACAAGGCGCUGGACUCUGAUGACGUUGAACUGUUGAAGCUUCUUCUGGAUGUAUCUAACGUCACUCUGGAUGAUGCUUACGCUCUGCACUAUGCUGCUGCCUACUGCAGCCCUAAGGUUUUUAAGGAAGUUCUCAAUAUGGGCUUGGCUGAUCUCAAUCUUAAGGAUGCAAGAGGACGUAUGGUGCUUCAUGUAGCUGCAAGGCAUAAGGAGCCAGCAGUGAUGGUGGCCCUGCUGAGCAAGGGAGCAUGCGCAUCAGAAACUACAUCAGAUGGGCAAACAGCUUUAGCAAUCUGUCGAAGAAUGACAAGGUGAAAGGAUUAUAUUGAAGCUACAAAGCAGGGACAGGAAACUAACAAAGACCGGUUAUGAAUUGAUGUCCUUGAGAGAGAGAUGAGAAGGAACUCCAUGUCUGGGAACUUGGCAAUGUCAGCAGAAGUGAUGGAUGAUGAUUUCCAAAGGAAGCUGGACUAUAUGGAAAAUAUAGGUGAUAUUUUUUUACUGGUAUUAGUUCAUCACCUUCUCAGAGUUUGUGCAUAGCACACUUCUUUCUACUGUUUUUUUGUCCCUUCAUCUGGAAAAUAAAGGUGAUAUUCCUUUGCUGGUAUUAGUAAAUCAUCUUCUCAGAGUUUGUGAGUCCCUUCAUCAUAGGAUCUCAAACACACAUGGGCUUCUCAGAGUUUGUGAGUCCCUUCAUCAUAGGAUCUCAAACACACAUGGGCUCAUUGCUUGGAGCACACUGUUGGCCAGUCGUGUGAUUUGAUCCCUUUUUUGGAAUAGACAACUCUGAAUCCAUCUGAUCUAAGCUUGGCGGUUUGCACUGAACUGGUUUUUGAUGAAUAAUUGCACAAGACUUUGUCAUCAAAACUUUCAUUUUUUGGUUUUUUUGCCCCAAAAGUAAUGAGGUACAAAAAAAUCUAUGCCUAUCCUGGAUGAGUGCCAUAACAGCUUCUUAAUAUUUCGCAGUGGCUUGUGUACGGUUGUUUCCUUCUGAAGCUAGAGUAGCUAUGGAAAUAGCAGGUGCAGAUACAACCACUGGCCUUUCAGCAUUUGGUCGGAAAGGACUUAGUGGGAACUUAAAGGAGGUUGAUUUGAAUGAAAUGCCCUCUAUGCAAGCCAAAAGAUGCCAAUUGAGACUGCUCACUCUGCUUAAAACAGGUAUUUAUAUACUUUAUUCACUUUUGCACCUUUCUAUUUACUGAUUAUCUUUAUAAUUAAAUAAUACAUGUAUCCAGGUUUCUCCUUCCAUUUCAUUAGAAGUAAAAUUGGAAUCUCUUUAUAGUGCUCUGUUAGGUGUAAUCAGAUGUAUCAAAAGAGAAAGGGUAAUUGUUAGUACAUUGAUAACUCAACAAAAUGGUAGAACCUUUCUUUAUACCACUAAAGACAUUUGUUGCAGGUGUGCCUACAUAAUCGGUGUCCUUUAAAACUUUCAAGGAGUUAGCAAUGCCUAACCCUUGAAACACUAAAUCUCACGGGAUCAACUCUUUACCUCUAGACCGAAGGUGUGACACCCAGACCCAAUUAGGGCUUAGAACACAUAUCGAAUCUGAGCGAAACUAAAUGCUUGUAAAUCCAAAUCUCCAAAAUAUCAAAAGGUCGUCUACUUUCUCUUUUCAUGAAUUUCACAAAAUUUUGAAAAAUUUAUUCUCAAUCAUAAACUAUGCGCAGCUAAUUAAUCAGUAUAUCAGUAUACAACAAUACUUCCUCGUAAGCAAAUAAAUCUUACAAUCCUUCUUACAUGAUUUUUUUUAAAAAAAUACUUCUAUAAGUCUUCUAAAUACAAACAUAAACUGAACUCAACUGCUAAAACUAUGCCAAAAUACAAGCUUCAAUCAGUAAUACACGUGAAUAUUUAUUAAAAACAUCUAGCUACAAACCUUAUGAAAGCUCAAUCCUUCCGAAGCAUUCUUAGAAUUAAUAAUUUCUACUAUCUGUGAAAAAUAAUUGACAGGGGUCAGCUGUUAACUCAAUCCGUAGAAACAUUCAUAACGAACAAAAAGAAUUCUUUGUGCAAUAUUUUCAGAAAAUUCAUUUAACCUUUCAAAUGAAACAGAGUAAUUUUUCAAACACAGUCAGGAUUUAUAUAAAACAUAAACGUUUCAGACAAGCUUUUUGGAACGUAAAUUUUGCUUCUUUGAACAGAAAGUUAUACAUUAGUUUGAUUUUAAAGGGAGGUUAUUGGCAAGUUAAAAUUGGCAGUUGUGGUAAAAGGGUAAUAGCAGUUAUAAAAUCUCUUUUAAAACAAAUUCAAAUCAGGUUUUAAAUUUUAGGAGUACUUAAUUCAAUAAAAUAUAGAAUAAAUAAAGCUUUCAAUGAAACAAAACUAAGUAAAUUCAUUUAAAGCAAAACAGGAUGCGAGCAUUACCUAAGGGUUCUUGACCAUACUAUGUUUACCCGCAGUCACAUAUCUGGGACCUUGUUAUUUGGAGACAAGACUUGAUUGUGCCAUGUUUUCCGCAGCCAGAUAUCUUUUACUUCAUUAUUUCCUAGACAUCUGUGGAUAACAGAACCCUAAGCCUAUUGAGAAUAAAUUCUGUAAUCCAAGACUCUUCAGUCCUUUCAUUUGUGGCUAAUUAGUUAUAAAAUUUGUGAAUUUCAUGCCCCACGCCCCUUGCAAAAUGUAUUUUAUAUCCUUAAGAUGCCGGUGGAUGAACUGAAAUAAUAAAAAAUGGAAAACAGACUUAAUGUUGAUAGCAUUUCUUAAGAAAAACUUGGGAUGUUUAUAAUUUUCUUAGAGCAUUUGCUGAACUUUCUGUGAUCGCAGUCGAGACGGGUCAACGCUACUUCCCUAAUUGCUCAGAAGUGGUUGAGAAGUUUAUGUUUUUCAACCCCGCUAAUUGCUCAGAAUUGGUUGAUGAGUUUUUGGAUUGUGAUUCGGCCGAUGCUUCCCUCCUAGAAAAGGGUACUCCUGAAGUGCAGAAACUCCAAAGGGCAUGCUUCAUGAAACUUAAAGUAGAGAUGCCGGAGGCAGUCUGCAAGGACGUGGCUUAUCACCGUCGCUCAGGGCUGCCAUCAUCCUGGUCGGCAUUUUACAAGUACAUGGCUGAGAGCAAUCGUUCAGGUAUGCCGGCAUCCUCGGCAUCGAGCAAUUAAGCAUCACCUUUCCCUAAAAGAUAUAUUUGACACCUGGGACACUAAAAGAGUUUAGUGAGCUCGAUUGGUACUUGUGGAGAUACCCAGAGCCUAUGUUACGGCUAUGUAUUGUCAAGUAGCAGAGAAAUUUUAAUGAAUGAUGGAUGAUUUUCUUGUGACUCUUUUGGUAACAAUCAUGUAACGAUUUCAGUAAUGUUAACAUUAUCGCAAUUUUCUUUUUCUUCAAGUAAUCUGGCAUUUAUCAAUUAGGUUGUAGAAUUUAUUAUAUUGUCUGGAGUCACACGAGGGAAAACUUUAGGUGCAACUGUGGUACCGUGCAACAGUAGCAUCCAGCCGUUAGAUGUCAGUGGACCCCAUCAAUCUAAGUGCAUCCAAUCGCUAGAUGCAACUGUGGCACGGUGCCACAGUUGCACCGUAGCCUGUGUCACACGAACGCAUAACAUUGAUGGAAUGGAUCACGUUAUCAUGAACGUAUAAUUAACAUCAGUUGCUGAACAAACUUUGCCUUUCAAUUUUGUAGACAUUACUAUCUCAAAUUUUCUAUUAUCAUAAAUGAGAUUUUAGGUAAUCUUUAAAAAAAAAAAACUAGAGAUUUCUUUUAUUUUUCCUUAAAAAAUGAAGAAAAAUUUAGAAAGUAGUGAGAGACGGAGAAUUAAAGCAAUUUUAUUCACAAAUGUAAUGUGCUUGGAGUAGCAAUACAAACUAACAAAUUAUAAUUUAUGAGAUUAGUUUACAAAAUCUUAUAUAUAAAAUUAUAUCCUCUAAAUAAAAAUAUUCUCACCUCUUUGGACUUAUCAUUUAUGAUGCGUUUGAGAUUGAGGUGCUGUAACUUUUAAACUACAGUUGCUGUGGAAAAAAUAUUAUAAUUAUGAAAUAAAAGUUAGUAAUAUUUAAUAAAUAUAAAUUUAAAUAGUAAUUUUGACAAAUUUAUUAAAGAUAUAAUAGAUUUUCUAUCAUACAAGUGAAAAAUCAUAUCAGCAUAGCUUCCAAGUUACAACAAUUAGUGUUUACCAAACAUUUUAGUACUGUAGUUUAAAGUUGCCCAACCUCAAUUCCAAACACACCCUUAGAUGCCCUUUCUACAAUCUCUCUAGCGAUAAACACAUUUUUAUAAAAUAAAACAAAAAAAAUUAUAUAUAAUUGUCAAGAGGAAUCUUACUAAAAUGGUCUCUCAUAAAUUUUUCUCUAAUUUGAGAGAUAGUGGGGAGUGGGGUUAAAGUGCAUCAACAUAGAAUUAAAAUUUUUUUUUUAAUUUUUUUAACUAUUUUAAUUAAAAGUAGCAGUUAUUCUUUUUAUUAUUGUUAUUCCAAUUAUCUAAAAAUCAAGUAACUGGGGAUCAAAUUAAGUAGUUCAUUAAAUUUUUUAAAUGACGUAUGAUAUGGUGUAUGGAGUUUUUAUACAUCUAUUUAAAUAGUAAAAUAUUUAAUUUUGCUUGUCGUAAAAUUUUAAUUUACGUGGGUUAAAAAAGAAAAAAAGAAAAAAAGAAAAAAGAAAUUGACUUAACAAUUAUUGAAAGACUAAAUAGAAAAUUGUAGUUGCGUGGGAAAACUCUGGGGAAAAGGGCUCCUGAUUUCCUUUCCCUGGCUUCGUGCGUCUCCUUUUGCCCUUUCGAGCACGAUUGCACGAAUUCGAAUCCAAUUCUUGAUAAUAAAGAUAUAAUAUUAUUAUAAUGCUAAUAAUUAACAUUAAAAUAUUAAAAAAUAAGGGAAAAAAAAUCCAAAUUUUUACUGGUAUAUAACUCAGAGCCAAAGCGAUGGCGAAACAUCAAAUUGUUUUUGUUUCAACCUUCGCGCAACUUCCGGUGACAUAAUCUCUGUCUGUUUCAGGUAAAUACCCAAAACUAAACUUUGCAUGUAUUAUUAUUGUAUUUUUGUUAUUCAUUCACAUAUUCUUCUUUUCUUUUCUUUUUUUCUUUUGCUGUAAGUUUUUAUGAGACACUCUGUUUCAGUUCUGUUUCUGGUUUUGUUUCAGUUUAACAUUAUUGGUUCCGUUCGGUUCUGUUCUGCUCUGUUCUCUGUUGUAUGUAUAUAUGUAUAUAUUUUUGGCCUCGAAUUGCUUUGAUCACCGGUUUUGUUAUUCAUUUAUCCUGAAUUUUAGAUACCCGUAAAGCUUGUUUGGCCAUGUGUUCACUUGAUUGUUACAUUCAGCUGUCAUUUUCAUGGUGGGUUUGUAAGAUAGUCUCUGACUAACAUAUGGCAUUGAUUAUGAAUGACGGUUUUUGUUAAAAGUCAUGGCUGGCACCGGCCAUCUAGAUGGCCGGUGCCAACCAUUCAACCAUUCAACACGGCCCGCCAUUAUUGGUGGUGCCGUGUUGACUUAUUCUAUAAAAAAAAAAAAAAUAAGCCAAAAUUUUGGCUAUAUAAAGAGGGCUUCCCACCCUCAUUUUUCAUCCAAUUCCAUUGAGAGAGAAGCAUUGCUUUCUUUGAGUGUUGAGAGUUUUAAGAGUUUAAUAAACUCUUGAGUGUUUAGUGUUUUGAGAGUUUGGGUGUAUUGGGAUUUUGGGAAGUGAGCUAAAAUACUACAAUACUUGUAACUCCUUUUCACUAGUAAAAUAUUUCCUUCUGUCUUCGCCCGUGGACGUAGGCUAAAAGCCGAACCACGUAAUUUUCUGGUAUUCUCUUUUAUGCUUUUUCUUUAUUUUUCUUCUAAUUUUACUUUAGCUGUGUGUCUGCUUCACCCACCAAUUUCCUAACAGUUUUUUGAGAUACAUCACACCGCCGUUAACUCUUUUUAAUGUGUACUUAUGUACUUACUUCAUUCAAAAGAUUAGUGUUUUUCUCUUUUUUUUUUUUAAAAUGAAAUGCCCCUUUUCGCAUUUUAUAGGUGAAAGGAAGAAACAUAAUAUCGCAGAACUAGAAUAAAGGAGCCUAUUCCGGUACCUAUUGUCCAAGGAAACUUCUGUAUAUUCUGUAGGAACUACCGAACUACCAUGGAAGUCAAAUCUUACCAGAGCCAGGCGGAGUCGUUGCUGAAGGAAUAUAUAUUAGCAGAUCCAUUUGUCCCUUACAGUUCAAUUGCUGGUAGCAUUUUUGCAUGCAAGACAGUAUGUUUUUCAUCGUUACUGCAUGGUGUUAUUUACUAGAAAAUAUUUUGAAUGCGUAGUUUUUAUGUAAUUAGUUAUAAAUUUUUAUAUACCUUUUUUUUUUAUAAGAAUGUGUUCCUUUUCAGGUCUAUGAUCUUGCCCAAUUGAUUAGUGCUGUCCACUUUAAAUGUUAUUCCAGUUUCUCCAGCAUACAGCGGGUUGAGUGGAGUAACAGGUGAUUGAAUAUUUUCAUUUAGUUCAAUUGUCAUUUCUUUUUCAAUCGGUAAAGUUUAAUCAUUUUUCUUAAAUCGACAACUUAUGCAGGGCCAUAUCAACCGUCCAUGCCAUUUUUGUUUCAGCUAUGUCUUUGUACUGUGUGUUUUGGUCGAAUAUAAGAGUUUGUACAUAGCACACUUGUUGUUUGUUUGUCCCUUCAUAGACAUUUCGAUAAACUGUUAUUUUUGUUUGUCGGAAUUGAAUAUUUUCCACAACUAGAACUCCGAAGUAUCUGGAAUGAUCCAUUUUAUCAUUCUCAAUACCUAUAAAAGAAGGACAUAGAAAACAGUUUCCAAAGCAAGUUGCCUAUGUUUUGAAUUUGUCUUUGGAAGCCACUAAUUGCUUGGAGCACACUGUUAGCCAGUCGUGGUUCCAUCCACUUAUUUGGAUAGACAAUUGUGCAUCCACAUGAUCUGGAAUAAACUAGUUUUUAAUAAAUAAUUGCCCAAGGAUUUAGUCUCAGUGUUACAGCCCAGUCUUUGUUGUCAAUACUCUUUCCCCUGUCGUGGAUGAGCGUCAUAACAGCUUCUUAAUGUGCAGUGGCUUUUGCACGGUUGUUUUUUUUCCUGCUGAAGCUAGAGUAGCUAUGGAUAUAGCAGAUGCAGAUGCCAUCAAUUUUUAUACUGGCCUUUCAGCAUCAAAAUCAAAAGGAUCAAGUGGGAACUUAAAGGAGGUUGAUUUCAAUGAAACACCCUCUAAGCAAGCCAAGAGACUCCAAUUAAGCCUGCAAGCUCUGCUUAAAACAGGUAUUUAUAUACCUUAUUAGUUUUUGUACCUUUACAAUUAGCGAUUUUUAUAUCAAACGAGAGAGGUUAAUCUUAGUACAUUGAUAUCUCAACAAAAUGUUAGAACCUUUGGAGCACUAGAGACAUUUUCUUAGAGCAUUUACUGAAGUUUCUAUGAUUGCAGUGGAGACAGGUCGACGCUACUUCCCUCAUUGCUUAGAAGUGGUUGAUAAGUUUUAGGAUUGUGAUUGGUCCGACGCUUCCCUCCUAGAAAAGGGUACUCCUGAAGAGCAGAAACUCAAAAGGGCACGCUACAUGGUUGAGAAAAAUCGCUCAGAUUUGUCGUCAUCCUCGUCGUCGUCAUCUUCUCCAAAGGAAGGAGUAAAGUGUAAGGGUAGGAAAAUGUGUUGCUUAGCUGCCUGUCUUUGUAUCCAUUUAUAGGCAACUAAAAGAGUUUUAGUGAGUUUGAUUGUUACUUGCAGAGAGAUACUCUUCGAGCCUAUGUUAUGGCUAUGUUGCAUAAUAGCAACAGAACUUCAAGCUUGCGUUGUUGUAUUUUCCCAGAUAUUUGGCAUGUAAUACACUAAAUGACAAAUAAUUUUCUAAUUUUAGAGGGGAAAGUUAUGUCAGUUAAUUAUUUAUUUAUUUUGUCUGUUUAAUUCAGUUUAUUUUUUCUCCAAAAAAAUCUUCAUAUCUCCAUCUGCAAUUUAAGUCAUUUGUAACUUCUUUCAGGGAGGAAGGAAAAGGGAAAAAAGAAGAAGCCUUUGUAAGUAUAUUUUACAGUACUGAUUUUCCUAUAGAAAUUGGUUAAGGUGACAUUAAUGUUCUUAGUAACAGAUGGAUAUGCAGAAUUUUCGUCGAAAUUGAAAUUAGAAAUGGAUGGAUAUGAAUGACAUAUAUUCAGAAUUUUUUAGUAGAAUGUUUAAACAAAAUUUUUUAGCUCAUUACUCUCUAAAAGGAAAAUAAAUUUUUUAUUGUAAAUAUUAAAUAUUAAAUUUAUAAUAUAAUAAAUGUGUGACUUAAGGUGCACAAUACCUAUAUAAUAAUAAUAAUUAAGACAAGAAAAAUCAAAUUUUGUAAAUUACCAAAUUUCCCUUGGAAUUUGAUAUUCUAUAUGAACGUAGGUGUUGCAUCCACUGGGUGAGUACAACUGAAAGAAACUAACUAAAGUAAAACAAAAUAUCAGAAAAAUAUGGCGAGCUUCUCAUAUUUUUUAAGUGAAAAAAAAAAAAGAAAACUGAAAUUAAUUAUUUUUAUACCCAAAUUCUCAUGCUCGAAGGCCGCUGGAAUUGGCCAUUGUAAUUUUGUCAUCCUCGUUAUUCACUGGCCAUCGCAGCCUUCCUCCCUUAAAAUGAGAGUCGUUUUUUGGACCACGACAUAAUAAAAAUAGUAUUGAUUAAUACUAAUAAAUUUCUUUUUGAUUAUUUUGCAGUGUGAUAGUCUAGUGCGUGCCAGUGCCCAGCAUAUCACUUGAACAUGUGGUAAAAUUCUGCGAGUCUUUGUAAAAUAAUUUUUAAAUUGUGUAUUAACCAAAUAGCUCAAUGAAGAGUAUCGCUCAUUAUUUUAUUUUGUAUAUAUUUAUGAUAAUUGUUGAAAAGAAAAAUGUAAAGUGAGAUUCAUGAACAUUUAUGAAUGUGGAAAUUAACACAACCAGAAUUUAUGAUGAAAUAAUUUUAAGUCAAACGAGUGUAAGUUUGUAUAUAUAUUUUUUUGAAUUGUCAUAUAUAUACAAGUUUGUCACUAACAGUAAAUUAAAUUAUGAAUAAUUUAAUAAUUCAAAAUCUCAUUUAACCAUCAGUGUUUAUAGGGUGCGUUUGGCACAUUGUAUUGUAUUAUAUUGUAUUAUAUUAUUUUAAUGCAUGUGUAUUAUAUUAUAUUGUAUUACAUUAACAUUGUGUUAUAAUAAUACUAUACAAUGUUUGGUACUACAUUGUAUUAAUUUUUAAUAAAUAUAUAAUAUUACACUGUAUUAUAUUAAUUUUUUAAUAAGUAUUUUAAAUUAUAUAUUUAGAAAAUAACAUUUAUUAGUCGUUAAAAAAUACUAAAUAUCAAAUUCUUAAAUUUUAGAAAUUUAAUAUUAUCUUUCUGGUAUAAACGUUGAAAAAAAAUCAUAAUUUUCGGAAAGAUCGAAAUAAAUAAUUCAAUCAAGUAACCUUCAAUUUUUUUGUUUUAUUCUUAGAACUUCAUAGUUCUUUUGUUUUUUCUUUUUCUUUUUCUUUGCCUCUAUUUUCUUUUUCUUUGCCCUUUUUUUUUUCUUCAUAGUUCUUUUGGCUUCAUAAGUUUCUUUUAACUGAGUUAAUAGGGUCGUUAGGUUAAACUAAGUUUGGCUUCAUAAGCUUCAUGGUAGAGUGUAGAAUUGGGCACAAUUUUGGAUUAGACAAGUCAAAGGUCUUAUCAAGUAAUUGUUCUGCUUACUGAUUUGGUAAUUGCAACAUUGCUAAAUAGUUCAAUUUGUCCUUUUUAUUUUGUUGAAUUUAUUGUAUGUCAUAUUACUUGAUUUAAUUAUUUUCUCAGAUCUUGUAGGUGAAAAUUUCAGCUUCAAAGACCAAAGCUAAUCAUCCAGCAAUUCAGUGAAACCAAGACACAGUAGGUGCGUUUGGGAUUGAGGUGCUGUAGCUUUUAAGCUACAACUGCUGUAAAAAAAAAGUUGUAAUUAUGAAACAAAAGUUAAUAAUAUAUAGUAAAUAUAAAUUUUAAAUAAUAAUUUUGAUAAAGUUAUUAAAGAUAUAAUAGAUUUUGUAUUAUACAAGUGAAAAAUCAUAUCAAUAUAACUUAAAAGCUACAGCAGCUAGUGUUUACUAAACAUUUUAGUGCUGUAGCUUUUAAGCUACAGCUGCCCAAUCUCAAUUCCAAACGCACCCAGUGGCUCAUAAAUUGUUGUUGGUUAUUGAUCCCAGCCAUUCGGGUGCUCGCCAGUCCUAGAUGAGAAAACUUUCAACGCGGCGCAUAAAUUGCUGUUGAUCUGCUUUAUAUAUUUUGACGUUUGUGAUUUGUGAAUACAUGGUCUGAUUCCAGUGUUUACAACUUUGAAAUUCAAUUAAAAGUUGAGCUGUGAAAGAGUGUGUUGUAUAACUUGAGAAGCAAAUGAAACAAACAGAAAAUGUGUUUUUAUUUUUUUAAUCUAUCUAUCUAUUUAUUUUUGGUUUGGAAAUGUAACAAUUUAUAGCUGACAAAGUAAUAGAGUUGUAUACUUUUACUUGUAUUUAAUUUAUUGUUAUUAUUAUUUUUUUUUAAUGACUCGGUAAUGUCAUCGUCCGUGGUGUUUUGUCAUUUCGAAAGUACUUAACCCUUCCACGAUAAGUUUGAGCUUUCAGUUCUUGAUUUAGCGUGUGGGGUAUCUUUGUCUUUUCAGUAGUCAACACACGGUCAACAAAACAGUCUACAAACAAUCGACCUGUGAACUUGGGUCAAAGCUUUCAUCUUUAAAUCACAUAGGUAGAUCAUGAUUCAAGCUUCAGUUAUAAGCAUUUCGUUGUGAUUGAUAGUAUUCUUUCUUUGAUAUAUAUAUAUAUAGAUUCAGUUUGAAUAUGGUUCUUGAUGGUAUCAUGGAAAAUGCGAACGAAAAGUCAGCAUCUUUGAGUUUUGUCUCAUCAUAUCAAACUUGUUGGUCCACUAAUCAAUCAACAGGCACUUGUGAUCUUGAUAAUUUGAACUUAAGGAAGCAAAGCACCAAUCCCAAAGAGACAUGGCUUGAAGCUGAGAUUGUUGUUGAGGGCAAAUCAGUGGCGGUUAAUCGCAGCAUAUUGUCUGAGCGCAGUCAAUUUUUUCGUCGGCUUUUUAAUUUGAGAAAUGAUGGUUCUGUCAGUGAGGGGAAACCCAAGUAUCUUUUGACUGAUUUGGUGCCUCAUGGGAAGGUUGGAUAUGAAGCUUUCAAUGAUACCUUGCAUUUUCUUUACACUGGGAAGCUUAAGCCAUCUCCUCUAGAAGUUUCCACGUGUGUUGAUGACGCUUGUGCUCAUGGUGCUUGCCCUCCUGCUAUCAAUUUUGCUAUUGAGAUGAUGUAUGCUUCUGCUGCUUUCCAGAUGGAACAACUCGUUGUUUUGGAGGUAAUUGUGCUUCCCUACUAUUUGUAUUGAAUAAACUUAUGCUUCUUGGUAUAGUUUUAGCAUAUAUGGGAUUGAAAUCAAUUUCAGUUGUGAAGCAACUUCGGUGGUUCCCAAUAUUAGGCAUUGUAGUAGAUCCAAAAUUAGCUUGUUAAGAAGUGUAGAUACCGGAGAGCCCAAAACUUCGUCUUAUCUUGCAAGAGUCUGUUGUUUUAUUUUCAAAGAGACAAAAGUGAUGAUGAUGGGCAGCGAACUCUAGGAAUCAAUGCUUGCUGACACUGACUCCCAAGAAUGAUAAAAACUAACCAAAAAGGUAUAGAUUACAUGAGUCUGAAUUUGAUAAGUGCGCCUAUCCUAUCACAAAAGCUUUUGCGUUGAGUUUCUAACCAAGGAAAAUUGUCACUUCUUUCUGUAGGCUUCAUAGAUUUGUUCAAGCCUUCAAGGAUGUCUAGCUGUUACUUACUGUCCAACAAUGGUGCUACAUUUCUAGUGAAUGAUAUGUUAUUCUACAUCUGUAUAUUGCAACUUUGACAAACUUGGCCUUUCCUUUGUUGAUUCACUCGUCUCACUUUUAUUAAAUUGCCCGAUUAUGAAAUGGUCUAUUGGAGACUAGCAUUGGAAGGUUUCUUCUGGAAAAAAUUUUACUUGACCGCCAAUUUUCAUUUGGGUGGGUGUCAGUUCAUGCUCUGGCUUGACUGUUCUGUUAUUUAGGUUGUUUUAUCCGUAUUUUCUUCACUUACUUGAUGGUUAGUUCUCUCAUGCUUUCAAGCUCUCAACAGUGAAUGCGAGAGAUUCUAUUUUUCCCGUCCAGUCUAUAACCUAGCAAAUCAUUAAUGCUGUAGAAUAACAUCUUGUGUAGGUGAGCUUAUGUCUCUGAACAUUGGUCCAUCGGCAUUUAGGUUCAAUAAGCAUGACACUGAUUUCCCCCCAAUUAUUAUUUUCCUGCACAGAUUAUCCCCUUUAAGUAUUUGAAUUUUGAAUAUAUUAUUAUGCAUCAAAACUGUAUCUAUCCGUGUAGCAUUUAAAUCUGCUUUAUGAUGUUUACCAAUAAUUACCCAUUAUGGGGUAUUUGAAUUUUGAAUAUAUUAUUCUGGACCAAAACUCUAUCUGUCCGUGUAGGAUUGGCUUCUGUGCUUGGCUGAGGAUGCUCCUGUGGAAGAUGUAAUCCCAAUUCUCGUGGCUGCCUUCCAUUGCCAACUGAACAUGCUCCGUUCUUACUGCAUCCAGAGAAUUGCAGGGUCAAAUCUUGACAAUCUUUGUCUCGAGAAAGAGCUUCCUGAUGAAGUUUCAAGAGAAAUCAAAUCACUCCGUGUCAAAUCUAACCAGGAGUCUGAAGCUAAUAUAGCAGAAGUGGAUCAUAAUCAUGCAAUAAUAGUCAGAAGAAUCCACAAGGCGCUGGACUCUGAUGACGUUGAACUGUUGAAGCUUCUUCUGGAUGUAUCUAAUGUCACUCUGGAUGAUGCUUACGCUCUGCACUAUGCUGCUGCCUACUGCAACCCCAAGGUUUUUAAGGAAGUGCUCAAUAUGGACUUGGCUGAUCUCAAUCUUAAGGAUGCAAGGGGACGUACAGUGCUUCAUGUGGCUGCAAGGCGUAAUGAGCCAGAAGUGAUGGUGACUCUGCUGAGCAAGGGAGCAUGCGCAUCAGAAACUAUAUCAGAUGGCCAAACAGCUGUAGAAAUCUGUCGGAGAAUGACAAGGCGAAAGGAUUAUCUUGAAGCUACAAAGCAGGGGCAGGGAACUAACAAAGACCAGUUAUGCAUUGAUGUCCUUGAGAGAGAGAUGAGAAGGAAGUCCAUGUCUGGGAACUUGGCAAUGCCAUCAGAGGUGAUGGAUGAUGAUUUCCAAGCGAAGCUGGACUAUCUGGAAAAUAGAGGUGAUAUUUCUUUACUGGUAUUAGUUCAUCACCUUCUCAGAGUUUGUGCUAUGCACACUUCUUUCUACUGUUUGUUUGUCCCUUCAUAUGGAAAAUAGAGGUGAUAUUCCUUUACUGGUAUUAGUAAAUCAUCUUCUCAAGAGUUUGUGAGUCCCUUCAUUUUAGCAUCUCAAACACACAUGGGCUCAUUGCUUGGGGCACACUGUUGGCCAGUCAUGUGAUUUGAUCCCCUUUUUUGGAAUAGACAAUUCUGAAUCCAUCUGAUCUAGGCUUGGUGGUUUGCACCGAACUGGUUUUUGAUAAAUAAUUGUACAAGACUUUGUCAUCAAAAACUUUUUUUUUUGUUUUUUUGUUUUUUGUUUUCCAAAAGUAAUGAGGUACAAAACAAUUUAUGCCUAUCCUGGAUGAGUGUCAUAACAGCUUCUUAAUAUUUUGCAGUGGCUUUUGUACGGUUGUUUCCUUCUGAAGCUAGAGUAGCUAUGGAAAUAGCAGGUACCGCCACUGGCCUUUCAGCAUUAGGUCAGAAAGGACUAAGUGGGAACUUAAAGGAGAUUGAUUUGAAUGAAACGCCCUCUAUGCAAGCCAAGAGCCGCCAAUUGAGACUGCUAACUCUGCUUAAAACAGGUAUUUAUAUACUUUAUUAACUUUUGCACCCUUCUAUACAUGUAUUAGUUAAUUAUAAAGAUAUUUAUAUACUUUAUUAACUUUUGCACCCUUCUAUUUACUGAUUAUCUUUAUAAUUAACUAAUACAUGUAUCCAGGUUUCUCCUUCCAAUUGGAAUUCCUUUAUAGUGCUCUGUUAGGUGUAAUCAGAUGUAUCAAAAGAGAAAGGGUAAUUGUUAGUACAUUGAUAUCUCAACAAAAUGGUAGAACCUUUCUUUAUACCACUAAGACAUUUGUCGCAGAUAUGCCUACAUAAUCAGUGUCCUUCAAAACUUUCAAGGAGUUAGCAAUGCCUAACCCCUGAAACACUAAAUCUCACGGGAUCAACUCUUUACAUCUAGACCGAAGGUGUGACACCCAGACCCAAUUAGGGCUUAGAACACAUAUUGAAUCUGAGUGAAACUAAAUGCCUGUAAAUCCAAAUCUCCAAAAUAUCAAAAAGUCAUCUACUUUCUCUUUUCAUGUAUUUCACAAAAUUUUGAAAAAUUCAUUCUCAAUCAUAAACUAUGCACAGCUAAUUAUUCAGCAUAUCAGUAUAGAGCAAUACUUCCUCAUAAGCAAAUAAAUCUUACAAUCCUUCUUACAUGAUUUUAAAAAAAAUACUAAUAGAAGUCUUCUAGAUACAAACAUAAACAGAAUUCAACUGUUUAAAACUAUGCCAAAACACAAGCUUCAAUCAGUAAUACAUACGACUAAUUAUUAAAAACAUCUAGGCAGAAACCUUACGAAAGCUCAAUCUUUCUGAAGCAUUCUUCAAAUUAAAAAUUGCUACCAUCUGUGAAAAAUAAUUGACAAGGAGUCAGCUGUGAACUCAAUCAGUAGAAACAUUCGUAAUGAACAAAAAGAAUUCUUUGUGCAAUAUUUUCAGAAAAUUCAUUUAACCUUUCAAAUGAAACAGAGUAAUUUUUCUAACACAGUCAGGAUUUAUAUAAAACACAAACGUUUCAGACAAAAGCUGUGCGGAAUGUAAAUUUUGCUUCUUUAAACAGAAAGUUAUAUAUUAGUUUGAUUUUAAAGGGAGGUUAUUGGGAAGUUAAAAUUGGCAGUUGUGGGAAAAGGGUAAUAGCAGUUAUAAAAUCUGUUUUAAAGCAAAUUCAAAUCAAGUUUCAAAUUUUAGGAGUACUUAAUUCAAUAAAAUAAGGAAUAAAUAAAGCUUUCAUUGAAACAAAACUAAGUAAAUUCAUUUAAAGCAAAAAAGGAUGGGAGCAUUACUAUGGGUUCUUAUGUUUACCCGCAGUCAGACAUCUGGGGACCUUGUUAUUUGGAGACAAGACUUGAUUGUGCCAUGUUUUCCGCAGCUAGACAUCUGUGGAUAAGAGAACCCUAAGCCUAUUUAGAAUAAAUUCUGUAAUCCAAGACUCUUCAGUUCUUUCAUUUGUGGCUAAUUAGUUAUAAAAUUUGUGAAUUUCAUGCCCCAUGCCCCUUGCAAAAUGCCAGUUGUUGAACUGAAAUAAUAAAAAAUGGAAAACAGACUUAAUGCCGAUAGCAUUUCUUAAGAAAAACUUGGGAUGUUUAUAAUUUUCUUAGAGCAUUUGCUGAACUUUCUGUGAUCGCAGUCGAGACGCGUGACCUCUACUUCCCUCAUUGCUCAGAAGUGGUUGAUCGCUUUUUGGAUUUGAACAAUCCUGCCACCCCAGAAAUGGACGACGAGAAACUUAAAGCAGACAUGCAGGAGGCAUUCUGCAAGGACGUGGCUUAUCACCGUCGUUUAGGGCUGCCAUCAUCCCGGCCGGCAUUUUACCAGUACACGGCUAGGAGCAAUCAGUCGGCAUUUUACAAGUACAUGGCUGAGAGCAAUCAGUCGGCCAAGUACGUGGCUGAGAGCAAUGGCUCAGGAAUGUCGACAUCCUCGGCAGCGCGCAAUCUAAAAGUUAUAUUUGACACCUGGAAAACUAAAGGAGUUGAGUGAGAUCGAUUGGUAUUUGUAGUUUCUUUUUUUUUUUCCUCAAGUGAUCUGGCGGCAUAAUUAAAAGUUAUAUUUGUUUGUCUUCAAAGUUAUUGUAUUGUCUCAAGUCCGGUAAGAUGCGCGAACUUAUAGCAUGGAUCCAUAUGAUCUGGACUAAACUAGUUUCUAAUAAAUAAGUAUAUUUUACAGUACUGAUUUUCCUACAGAAAUUGGUUAAGGUGACAUUAAUGUUCUUUAUGAUAGACGGAUAUACAGAUUUUUCGUCGAAAUUGAAAUUAGAAAUGGAUGGAUAUGCAGAAUUUUUUAAUAGAAUUUUUAUACAAAAAUUUGUAGCUCAUUACCCUCUAAAAGGAAAAAAAUAAAUUUUUGAUUUUAAAUAUUAAAUAUUAAAUUUAUAAUAUAAUAACUUUGUGAGUUAAGGUGCACAAUACCCAUAUAUUAAUAAUUAAGAAAAGAAAAAAAUUAAAAUUUGUAAAUUACCAAUUUUUUCUUGAAAUUUGAUAUUCUAUAUUAACGUAGGUGUUGCAUGGACUGGGUUAGUACAAUUGAAAGAAACUAACUAAAGUAAAACAAAAUAUCAUUAAAAUAUGGCAAGCUUCUCAUAUUUUUUAAGUGAAAAAGAGAAGAAAACUAAAAUUAAUUAUUUUUAUACCCAAAUUCUAGUGCUUGAAGGCCGCUGGAAUUGACCAUUGUAGUUUUGUCAUCCUCAUUAUUCACCGGCCAUCGUGGCCUUCCUCCAUUAAAAAAAUAAAUGACCAUUUUUUUGGACCACAACAUAUUAAAAAUAGUAUUGAUUAAUACUAAUAAAUCUCUUUUUUGAUUAUUUUGCAGUGUGAUAGUCGAGUGAGGGCAGUGCCCAUCGUAGCACUUGAACAUGUGGUAAAUUUAUGCCAGUCUUUGUAAAAUAAUUUUUAAAUUAUGUAUUAACCAGAUAGCUCAAUGAAAACUAUCGCUCACUAAAUUAUUACUUUAUUUUGUAUAUAUUUAUGAUAAUUGUUGAAAAGAAAAAUGUAAAGUGAGAUUAACGAACGUUUAUGAAUGUGGAAAUUAACACAACCAAGAUUUAUGAUGAAAUAAUUUUAAGUCAAAUGAGCAUAAAUUUGUAUAAAUAUUUUUUGAAUUGUCAUAUAUAUACAAGUUUGUCACUAAUAGUAAACUUAAUUAUGAGUAUUUUAAUAAUUCAAAAUUUUAUUUAACCAUCGGUGUAUAUAGUGUUUUUCAUAAUACAAAAUUAUAAAAAGUCUCAUCCUGAAUAGUAUAAUGCCAAACCUUUUCAAAAAUUUAUUCUAUUAUAGUCGUCUUAGUCAGUUAUAUUUAUUUCUAAAUUGAAGAUAAAAACAGUACUUCAUAUAUCAUCCAUUACUUCAUACAUUACUUAAAGUUUUUUUUUUUUUCAAUCAAAUUAUGAGCAAGUGAAAGGAUGCAAUAAAUUACGACUAAAAUUGUAAAAUUUACCAAUGGCUAUAUACAAAGUCUGAUUCUCAUGAGCUUAAAAGAUGGGCUUUGAAUGAUGUAUGGUUCUCAAAACUCUACUUUUAUUAAUAUGAUUGCCCUGCUUCCUUCAUGACGGGUAAUUUUUAGUUUCGUCCCCUGAAGUUUGGUUUAUCUCCAUUUUAAUAGGAAAUAUUAGCGUAUCUCCCACUUUUCUCCCCUGCCGUUUGUAUACCGUUUCAUAUUGUUAAUGGACGAAGCUACAAGUCUUCUCUUUCAUCAAAUCGAUCCAUAACAAAUACGAGUCUGCUUCACCUAACCAAAACACACACAUACUCCAUCUCUAAAUGCUUUGAAGAUAAACAAAUCAACCGUAAUCCUGCAACUUUAGCUCAGAGAAUCGGAUAAGAAAAGAACAGGUGAUGAAUCAAGGGUAAUGGCGCCGAGUGAGUGUCGCCUGCGGUCGGCGUUAGAGGCGACUGUCACUCAAUCGCGUACAAGGUUAGUCUUUGAAAAAACUCUUUGCAUGUUAGAAAUCAGUGAUUAGGCAUUAUUUUGUUAUUUAAAAAUGAAAAUGGGUUUAUUAGUUUGUCGAAGAAUCUGCUCUGUUGCCGGUGUUGUUUGUUGAUUAAAAUGAAAAUGGGUUUGUUGAUGUGUUGAAGAAGUUGCUCUCCUGCUGGUGUUUUUUUAUUAAUUAAAAUGAAAAUGGGUUUGUUAAUUUAUUGAAGCAGCUGCUGGCAUUGUUAUUGUGACUUUAUUUAUCCAAUUGAUGAGCUUAUGAGCUAAUAGUAUUGUUUGAUCAAGCUUGUGUUCUUAAUAGUGGAGUUGAUAUUCUUAAAAUGAAUUUAUGAUUAUGAGAAUAUGAAAAUUGAAUGGCAUCGUAGAGAUCUGGAUUAAUCACCAUCGUAUAUGUUUCUAAAUAAAGGAAUAAGCAGCAACCGAUUUGAAAGUUAAGACUUUAGGGAUAUGUAUGUGCAACUGAAUGAAUCAUCAGUUGCUAUCUUGUAAGUCAGUGCUAGCAUAUUACCUAAUGGCAAGUGAAGCUAUUUUAUGUGUAUUGCUGCCUAUCAAAAUGUUUAUGUUUGAAGUUUUCUCCUUUUGGGAAAUUGAAUGCUUCUGUGAGUUCUCUGGUAAGGGCUAUACAACUAUCUCUAAUAGAUUCCUUCAUGUGCAUUAAUUAGCUUAGUAGUUUAUUGACCUAUAUCCAAUGUCUAUUCUCCUUUUCUGUAGCCGUCUAGUUUUAUGAGUGUGUGAAGUGAACUUUUGUUUUAUGUUUCAGGACUUGGGAUUAGAGUGUAUAACAUUCAAUAUCUUUAUAUCAAAGAACUGAUAUAUGUCAAUGUAGUGCGAUCUGGUCUUUAUUAGCUUCUUGAUUUGCCAGGAUGUUUGACAACCAUCUUUGACCAUGAUUGCCAACAUAUAAGCUGCUACAUAGUGUCUCAGGAAUCACAGCAAAUUAUUAUCAUAAUAUGGUGAUUUUGAAUCCAAAACUUGGUAGUGUCAAGAAAAUAGACCCAUGUUUAUUUAUCUUCAUGUUUUGUAUGCGCCUGCAAUAGACUAUUAUAAGUUACUUUUAGUUUUAUCAAGUUUUUUUUUCCUUAAAUUUCAUCGAGUCUUGGAGUCUUUGUAAUAUAGAGUCUAAGUGAAGAAUACUUGGGUGAAAUCUUGUAUUCUCUCUUCCAGUAAUAUAAUCAUCCUUUGUGUUUUUAUCUUUUUAUUUUGGUAUCAGAGCAUACUUUAUUAUAGAAGGACUUAGACUCUAUAUUACAAAGACUCAGCGGUUUCUUUUAACUGAGUUAAUAGUGUUGUUAGGUUAAACUAAGUUUGGCUUCAUAAGAUUCAUAGUAGAGUGUAGAACUGGGUACAAUUUUGGGUUAGACAAGUCAAAAGUCUUCUCAAGUAAUUGUUCUGCUUACUGAUUUGGUAAUUGCAACAUUGCUAAAUAGUUCAAUUUGUCCUUUUAUUUUGUUGAAUUUAUUGUAUGUCAUAUUACUUCAUUUAAUUAUUUUCUCAGAUCUUGUAGGUGAAAAUUUCAGCUUCAAAGGCCAAGCUAAUCAUCCAGCAAUUCAGUGAAACCAAGACACAGUGGCUCAUAAAUUGUUGUUGGUGAUCCAGCCAUUCGGGUGCUUGCCAGUCCUAGACGAGAAAACUUUCAACGCGGCGCAUAAAUUGUUGUUGAUCUACUUUAUAUAUUUUGACCUUUGUGAUUUGUGAAUACAUGGUUUGAUUCCAGUGUUUACAACUUUGAUACUGUGUAUAACUUAAAAAGCAAAUGAAACAAAUAGGAAAUGUGUUUUUAUUUUUUUUAUUCUAUCUAUCUAUUUAUAUUUUGUUUGGAAAUGUAACAAUUUAUAGCUGGCAAAGUACUAGAGUUGUAUACUUGUAUUUAAUUCAUUAUUAUUAUUUUUUUAAUGAUGACUCAGUAAUGUCGUUGUCCAUGGUGUUUUGUCAUUUUGAGAGUACUUAACCCUUGGACGCUAAGGCACAUUACAGUAGCCGAAAUUUUGAGCUUUCAGUUCUUGAUUUUAGCGUGAGGGGUAUCUUUGUCGUUUCAGUUGUCAACAAACAAUUUGUUGGGGGGGGGGGGGGGGGGGUGGAGAUACGCUGAUACUUUCUAUCAUACUGGAGAUACACCUAACCUCAGGGAAGGAAACUGAAAUUUCACCUUUACGACGGGUGGACUUGGGUCAAACUUUCAUAUUCUAAUCAAGUAGGUCGAUCACGAUUCAAGCUUCAGUCAUAAGCCUUUCGUUAUGAUUGAUAUUAUUCUUUCUUGAUAGUAUCAUGGAAAAUGCAAACGAAAAGUCAGCAUCUUUGAGUUUUGUCUCAUCAUAUCCGACUUGUUGGUCUACUAAUCAAUCCACAGACCCUUGUGAUCUUGGUAAUUUGAACUUAAGGAGGCAAAGCAGCAAUCCUAAAGAGCCAUUGCUUGAUGCUGAGAUCGUUGUUGACGGCAAAUCAGUGGCAGUUAAUCGCAGCAUAUUGUCUGCACGCAGUCGUUUUUUUCAUUGGCUUUUUCAUUUGAGCAGUGAUGGUUCUGUGAGUGAGGGGAAACCCAAGUAUCUUAUGACUGAUUUGGUGCCUUAUAGGAAGGUUGGAUAUGAAGCUUUUAAUGAUAUCUUGCAUUAUCUUUACACUGGAAUGCGUAAGGCACCUCCUUCAGAAGUGUUCACGUGUGUUGAUGAUACUUGUGUUCAUCUUGUUUGCCCUCCUGCUAUUAAUUAUGUUAUUGAGUCGAUAUAUGCUUCUGCUGCUUUUAAGAUGACAGAGGUCGUUUCGGUUUAUGAGGUAGUUGCGCUUCCCCGCUACUUGUAUUGCUUAAAUUUAUGCUUAUUGGUAUAGUUUUAACAUAUGUGGGAUUGAAAUCAAUUUCAGUUGUGACUUGCAAAGAGCCAAAGAAUCUGUUGUUUUAUUUUGAAAGAGACAAAGAUGAUGAUGAUGGGCAGUGAACUCUAGGAAUCAAUGCUUGCUGACACUGACACCCAAGAAUGAUAAAAACUAACCAAAAAGGUAUAUAGAUUACAUGAGUCUGAAUUUGAUAAGUGCACCUAUCCUAUCACAAAAAGCUUUUGCGUUGAGUUUCGAACCAAGGAAAAUUGUCACUUCUGUCUGUAGGCUUCAUAGAUUUGUUCAAGCCUUCAAGGAUGUCUAGCUGUUACUUAGGGUCCAACAAUGGUGCUACAUUUCUAGUGGAUGAUAUGUUAUCUACAUCUGUAUAUUGGAACUUUGACAAACUUCGCCUUUCCUUUGUUGAUACACUCGUCUCACUUUUAUUAAAUUGCCUGAUUAUGAAAUGGUCUAUUGGAGACUAGCAAUGGAAGGUUUCUUCUGGAGAAAAUUUUACUUGCCACCAAUUUUCAUUUUGGUCGGUGUCAGUUCAUGCGCUGGCUUGAUUGUUCUGUUAUUUAGGUUGUUUUAUCCGUAUUUUCUCACUAUCUUGAUAGUUAGUUCUCUAAUGCUUUCAAGCUCAACAGCGAAUGCGAGAGAUUCUCUUUGUCCUGUCCAGGUUAUAACCUAGCAAAUCAUUAAUGCUGUAGAAUAACAUCUUGCGUAGAUGAGCUCGUGUCUCUGAACAUUGGUCCAUCGGCAUUUAGGUUCGAUAAGCAUGGCAUUGAUUUUCCCCCUCAUUGUUAUUUUCCUGCACAGAUUAUCCCCUUUAAGUAUUUGAAUUUUGAAUACAUUAUUCUGAAUCAAAACUCUAUACGUCCGUGUAGCAUUUUAUAUAUGCUUUAUGAUAUUUACCAAUAAUUACCCACUGCGAGGUAUUUGAAUUUUGAAUAUAUUAUAUAUUAUUAACUUUUGCACCCUUCUAUACAUGUAUUAGUUAAUUAUAAAGAUAUUUAUAUACUUUAUUAACUUUUGCACCCUUCUAUUUACUGAUUAUCUUUAUAAUUAACUAAUACAUGUAUCCAGGUUUCUCCUUCCAAUUGGAAUUCCUUUAUAGUGCUCUGUUAGGUGUAAUCAGAUGUAUCAAAAGAGAAAGGGUAAUUGUUAGUACAUUGAUAUCUCAACAAAAUGGUAGAACCUUUCUUUAUACCACUAAGACAUUUGUCGCAGAUAUGCCUACAUAAUCAGUGUCCUUCAAAACUUUCAAGGAGUUAGCAAUGCCUAACCCCUGAAACACUAAAUCUCACGGGAUCAACUCUUUACAUCUAGACCGAAGGUGUGACACCCAGACCCAAUUAGGGCUUAGAACACAUAUUGAAUCUGAGUGAAACUAAAUGCCUGUAAAUCCAAAUCUCCAAAAUAUCAAAAAGUCAUCUACUUUCUCUUUUCAUGUAUUUCACAAAAUUUUGAAAAAUUCAUUCUCAAUCAUAAACUAUGCACAGCUAAUUAUUCAGCAUAUCAGUAUAGAGCAAUACUUCCUCAUAAGCAAAUAAAUCUUACAAUCCUUCUUACAUGAUUUUAAAAAAAAUACUAAUAGAAGUCUUCUAGAUACAAACAUAAACAGAAUUCAACUGUUUAAAACUAUGCCAAAACACAAGCUUCAAUCAGUAAUACAUACGACUAAUUAUUAAAAACAUCUAGGCAGAAACCUUACGAAAGCUCAAUCUUUCUGAAGCAUUCUUCAAAUUAAAAAUUGCUACCAUCUGUGAAAAAUAAUUGACAAGGAGUCAGCUGUGAACUCAAUCAGUAGAAACAUUCGUAAUGAACAAAAAGAAUUCUUUGUGCAAUAUUUUCAGAAAAUUCAUUUAACCUUUCAAAUGAAACAGAGUAAUUUUUCUAACGCAGUCAGGAUUUAUAUAAAACACAAACGUUUCAGACAAAAGCUGUGCGGAAUUUAAAUUUUGCUUCUUUAAACAGAAAGUUAUAUAUUAGUUUGAUUUUAAAGGGAGGUUAUUGGGAAGUUAAAAUUGGCAGUUGUGGGAAAAGGGUAAUAGCAGUUAUAAAAUCUGUUUUAAAGCAAAUUCAAAUCAAGUUUCAAAUUUUAGGAGUACUUAAUUCAAUAAAAUAAGGAAUAAAUAAAGCUUUCAUUGAAACAAAACUAAGUAAAUUCAUUUAAAGCAAAAAAGGAUGGGAGCAUUACUAUGGGUUCUUAUGUUUACCCGCAGUCAGACAUCUGGGGACCUUGUUAUUUGGAGACAAGACUUGAUUGUGCCAUGUUUUCCGCAGCUAGACAUCUGUGGAUAAGAGAACCCUAAGCCUAUUUAGAAUAAAUUCUGUAAUCCAAGACUCUUCAGUUCUUUCAUUUGUGGCUAAUUAGUUAUAAAAUUUGUGAAUUUCAUGCCCCAUGCCCCUUGCAAAAUGCCAGUUGUUGAACUGAAAUAAUAAAAAAUGGAAAACAGACUUAAUGCCGAUAGCAUUUCUUAAGAAAAACUUGGGAUGUUUAUAAUUUUCUUAGAGCAUUUGCUGAACUUUCUGUGAUCGCAGUCGAGACGCGUGACCUCUACUUCCCUCAUUGCUCAGAAGUGGUUGAUCGCUUUUUGGAUUUGAACAAUCCUGCCACCCCAGAAAUGGACGACGAGAAACUUAAAGCAGACAUGCAGGAGGCAUUCUGCAAGGACGUGGCUUAUCACCGUCGUUUAGGGCUGCCAUCAUCCCGGCCGGCAUUUUACCAGUACACGGCUAGGAGCAAUCAGUCGGCAUUUUACAAGUACAUGGCUGAGAGCAAUCAGUCGGCCAAGUACGUGGCUGAGAGCAAUGGUUCAGGAAUGUCGACAUCCUCGGCAGCGCGCAAUCUAAAAGUUAUAUUUGACACCUGGAAAACUAAAGGAGUUGAGUGAGAUCGAUUGGUAUUUGUAGUUUCUUUUUUUUUUUCCUCAAGUGAUCUGGCAUAAUUAAAAGUUAUAUUUGUUUGUCUUAAAAGUUAUUGUAAUAUCUAAAGUCCGGUAAGAUGCGCGAACGUAUAGCAUGGAUCACAAACUCAUUUCAUAGAAUAUUUUUUUGUAUAAUUAUAUAAUUUAUAGGCUUUGCUUAAAAAAUUAAAAAAGAAUUGCAUUACAAUUGGUAUGAGGCAUGCAUGUGUGUGUCAUAUCAGUUGCUGAACAAACUUUGCCUUUUAGUUUUGUAGGCACUACCAUCUCAAAUUCUCUGUUAUCAUGAAUGAGUAUUUUUUUCUUUUUUCUUUUUUAAGAAAUCAUAAAUGAGAUUAAGAUAAUUUUUUUUAAAAAAAGAAAAAAAUGGAGAUUUCUUUUAUUUUUCCUUAAAAACUGAAGAAAAAUUUAGAUGGUAGUGUGAGACGGAGAAUUAAAGCAAUUUUACUAACAAAUGUAAUGUGUUUGGUGUCGCAAUACAAAUUAAUAAAUUAUAAUUUAUGAGACUAGUUUGCAUAAUCUUAUAUAUAAAAUUAUAUCCUCUGAAUAAAAAUCUUCUCACCUCUUUUGACUUUUCAUUUAAAUAUCCUCUCUAGAAUCUCUCUGACCAUAAACACAUUUUUACAAAACAAAACAGAAGAAAUUAUAUAUAAUUCUCACAAGGACUAUUUCAUUUGCACAUAGUACGCAAUUGGUCACUAAAGUUAUUUGAGGAGAAAAUUUACAUGAGAUGGGUACAUCCUAUUAUCAGUAUUUUAAUUUAAGUUUGAACAUACUAGAAUGGUCUCUCAUAAAUUUUUCUCCAAUUUGAGAGAUGGUGGGGAAGUGGGGUUAAAGUGCAUCUGCAUAGAAUUAAUUAUAAUUAAAUUUAUUUUUUAAAACUAUUUUAACUAGAAGUAGUAGUAAUUCUUUUUAUUAUUGUUAUUCCAAUUAUAUCAAAAUCUAGUGACUCGUGAUCAAAUUAAGUAGUUCAUUAAACUUUUUUAGGUGACGUAUGGUAUGGAGUUUUUAUAAAUCUAUAAAUAUAGUAAAAUAUUUAAUUUUGCUUGUCGUAAACUUUUAAUUUGCAUGGGUUAAAAAAGAAAAACUAGCGAAAAGUUUGUGCGCAGAGAGCCAGAGAAAACUAGCGGCCGCUGUUAAGCAAAAAGUUAAAAGUUGAACCCCAUGCAUGAAAGCUCCGAAAAUAUCGGACGUGGCGAAAACCCUAUUUUCGGAGGGACUUUUUCUCCGCCGUUUAGGGAGGCUAGAACAACCAAAAAGGCACGGUUUCGUGAUGAGGAAGUAGCUGGUGACAAUCCUAUGCAGGUUUCGUACAAAGAAACCCUGGUGAACUCUUCGCAAGCAAUGGAGAAUGGUUUUGGAGGCGGAGCAGUGGACUGGGAUUUUGAGGAAGGAGAUGUGAUCGAGAACAACGAUGGACCUAUGCCAUCAAUAGCUUUCUCGGCUAGGGUCCAUGAGAAGUUGAGUGAACCGCGGAAGAAUUCUGUCGUUGUGAAACUACUUGGCCGAACAAUAGGCUAUAGGGCUCUCUGCACAAGAUUGAAUGUAAUGUGGAAAACAACCAUGAGUUUCUCAGUGAUUGAUUUAGAGAAUAACUAUUUUUUGAUUCGCUUCCGCUCAAGUAGUGAUGUUGUUGAUGCUCUAACUAAUGGGCCUUGGCUUAUUAUGGGGCAUUACUUAACGGUACAACCAUGGACACCCAAUUUCGAUUUCACCAAAACGGCUAUUGAUCAAGUCACUGUAUGGAUUCGUUUACCUGGUCUUGCUGUCCACCUCUAUGAUCGGAAAAUGCUGCAAAAGCUUGGACAAUUGGUGGGUACGGUGAUCAAAAUUGAUGUGAAUACAGCCUCCUCUACACGGGGACGUUUUGCCCGAGUUGCAGUCACAAUCUCUUUGGCUAACCCGCUAGUGUCUCAGUUUGAACUGGAUGGGAAGGUCCAGAAGGUGGAAUAUGAGGGAUUGCCAGUGAUCUGCUUUAUGUGUGGAAGGUAUGGACAUAACAGAAAUACUUGCAAGGAAGCUGGUGCAGCGAAUGAAGCUGAAAAUGCCCCCCAGCCUACUAUGCAACGUCAGGAGGUCCCUGCUCAUCAGGAGUUUGGCUGUCAUGAUGCUAGUAUUGUAGAACCCUUUGGCACUUGGAUGAUCGUCACGAGAAAAGGCAGGAGAACUAACAAUGGCAUGGAGAAUAACAGUGAGCUAAACCGGAACCGCGAGCCUUUUGGGGCUAGCACUUCAAGAUUCCACAUUCUAGCUCAAGUCUCAGAUGAGCGUGAGGAUCAUGCCCCUGCAGUGGUUAAGGAUAUCCCCUCCACUUCACGUCAACCACUCAUGCCUACCCUGAACCCUACUUUUACCUCCCAUCAAGAGACCAUAACAAGGACCUCGGCAAGGCGUAAACCUCAUAAUAAGGCUGUGGUUACAAAACCUCGAGGUAGGAAACCGGCCACCUCAAUGAAUCCAUUCCAAAACCCCUUUCAGUCGAGUGUUUUUACCACAAGCAAGAAGGAUGUAAACUCCACACCCCAUGCAAACCUUAAUCCCACAUCAUUUGUAACUUCACAGUUUGAACCUGGUCAUCAACAAGUUUCCCACCUUGCUAACACCUUAGACCCAACGAAGCAUACUGUGGUCUUUUGCUCACCACAAACCUUUCCAUCGGGGAAUGUAAGGGAUGCGGCCAUUGAGCAUAGAGCUCGGCAGGGACCAGACCCUCAACAUACAUCUACUUGCCAGACGCUCGAAACACAUCAUGUGUUAAUGAAGUUGAGAAUGCCCAUACACACCCUGAGCAGCCUACGAGUGGAGUUGAUGAGGCUGGAAUGUUGGAUGAAGAAGAAUCAAUGGUUCAAGAAACGCUUAUGGCGUUGAUGGCUGAUAUUAAUGAUCAGCAAAACUAAGGUUUCUAUCAUCCCCUACUGAAAUUUUUUAUGUCAAUUAGCAUCAUGUAUUGGAAUGUUCAAGGGGUGGCCUUGACUACUUUUCGCCACUCUUUUAAGACUAUUGUUAAAAAUUAUAAUCCUUCUCUGGUGGUAUUGAUGGAACCUCGUAUUAGUGGGGGUAAAGCAGAUGAGUUUAUUAAGAAAAGUGGUUUUGACAACUCUCAUCGUGUGGAAGUAGUAGGCUUCUCUGGAGGAAUUUGGCUGCUCUGGCAGAAUGUUAUAGAGGUGGAGGUUCUUUUAAAUCACAAGCAAUUUAUUCAUUUCAGGAUUAGCAUGAAUAAGGUAUUUAUGUCUUGGGCAACGGCUGUCUAUGCUAGCCCAAAUCCAAUGUUGCGGAGAUAGUUAUGGAAUCAUAUGGAUAGCCUUGCUCUCUCUAUCCAAGGACCUUGGCUGAUUGGUGGGGAUUUCAAUUCUAUAUUGUACGCUUCUGAAAAACAGGGGGAGCUGCAGGGCAGUCAGGAGUGUGUGGCUUGUUUCGGCAGUGGUUUGAUGGACACCAAAUCUUUGAUUUAAAGUUCAAAGGCCCUCAAUCUACAUGGUCUCGUGGUUUUCUUUUCAAAAGGCUAGAUAAAGCCUUAUGCAAUAAUGAGUGGUUAUUAAAGUUUGCAGAUAACUCAGUUCUCCAUCUUCCGAAAGUUGCUUCGGAUCACAGACCGGUGCUAGUUCAGUUUGAGAGAGUUGUACGGAGACAUCAUGGUAAUAGGCCCUUUCGGUUUUUGGCUUAUUGGUUUACUAAUGAUCAUUUUAAUAAUUUUGUUAAGCAGACGUGGGAUCCUCAAGCUUCUUAUAGUGAUGCGGCAUCUAUUUUUGUCAAGGAGGUUCAAGUUUGGAAUCGGGAGGUUUUUGGGAAUAUUUUUCAGCGAAAACGUAUCUUAAUGGCUCGGAUUAAUGAGAUUCAAGCAACCUUGGAGAAAUCUAGUUCGAGGGGGUUAAUGCGCUUAGAGGCUUAGUUGCGGAAAGAUUUGGAGAUGGUGAUGGGGCAAGAGGACAUUCUUUGGUGGCAAAAAUCGAGAAAGGAUUGGAUUAUGCAUGGGGACAGAAAUAUUAGGUUCUUUCACCAAAAAACUAUUGUUCGCAGGCGGCGGAAUAGAAUUGAAGCCAUCCAGGACAAUUCGGGCAAUUGGUUGUACAAUGAGGAAGAAAUCCGAAAUCAUACAGUUGGGUAUUUUUCUGCCUUAUUCACAAGUGAGGCUGCAAGUCCCCAAGUUUAUCUUGUUCCGAAUUAUUUCCCAACUCUGGAUGCUUAUGAUAUCGAUUGUGUUGCCAACCCAGUUUUGGAAGCAGAAAUCAAGAAUGUCGUCUUUAGUAUGAAACCGCUAAAGGCUCCAGGUACGGAUGGGUUGCAUGCUAUUUUCUACCAGUCUCAAUGGGCAGUGGUUUGGCCUUCCUUCUGUAAGUUUAUUGCUGACAUUUUUAACUCUGGUAAGAUUCCUAAAGAGGUCAAUACUACUCUUCUGGUAUUGAUCCCUAAAGUGGAGCAUCCUACUAGCUUAAAAAUGUUCAGACCUAUCAGCUUAUGUAUAGUCGCCUAUAAAACAGUGACUAAAAUAAUUACUAACCGUUUGCAAGUCGUGCUGCCUAAAAUUAUAGGCCCUCAUCAGACGAGUUUUGUUCCUGGCCGCCACAUCAUAGAUAAUAUUGUUGUUGCCCAGGAAGUGGUCCAUACUAUGCAACGAAAAACAGGUAAGCGAGGGCUUAUGGCUAUCAAGGUAGAUCUCGAGAAGGCGUAUGAUCGGCUCAAUUGGUCUUUUAUCUUCGAUACUCUUCAGCUGACUGGCAUUCCGAUUCAAUUAUCUAGGCUCAUCAUGGAAUGUGUUACUACAGCUAAAAUGAGCAUUUUGUGGAAUGGAUAGGCUAUGGAGGAAUUUUCUCCGGGGAGAGGAAUCCGACAGGGAGAUCCCCUGUCUCCCUAUAUUUUUGUGCUUUGCAUUGAGCGGUUGAGCCAUGGUAUUUCCCAAGCUGUGAGGGAAGGCAGUUGGAAACCAAUCCGGUUGGCCAAACGGGGAACUCCCCUAACACAUUUAUUUGUUGCUGAUGACUUACUUUUAUUUGCAGAAGCCUCAAUUAAUCAAGCUUAUAUCAUUGACGCAGUUCUGGAGAAUUAUUGUCGGAGCUCUGAAACAAAGGUUAAUAAAUCAAAAACCAAAGUCUUUUUCUCUAAAAAUGUGUUAUCUAGAGAUGCCCAGCUUAUUAGUGACGCCUUGGGAUUUUCGGCUACUAAGGAUUUAGACUGUUACCUUGGCAUGCCUCUAAUCCAUUCGCGGGUGAAUAAAGCUACUUAUCAGUCCAUUCUGGAUAAGGUGGACAUGCGGCUUACUGGAUGGAAUGUGGCUAAUUUAUCCUUUGCUUGAAGAGUAACUUUGGCUCAAUCGGUGGUUCAAGCAAUGCCCAUUUAUGCAAUGCAAACAACUUUGCUUCCCCCCCGAUGCGUCAUAAAAUUGACACGACUUGUCAUCGGUUUAUUUGGGACGGGAAGUCGAAGAGGCACAAGAUGAGUAUGGUGGGCUGGGACAGAAUUUGUAUGCCAAAGAAUCAUGGGGGUCUGGGGUUUAAAAAGCUAGAUGUGUUGAACCAUGCACUGCUGAUGAAGCUGACCUGGGAAGUUGUAUCUAACUCGGACAAAUUAUGGGUGAAGGUGUUUUGUUCUAAAUAUGGGUUGGAUCCUGGAAACUUACCGCUCUCUCUCCUAGAUAAACAAUGGUCCCGUAUUUGGAUGGCUAUCAGGAAAACGUGGGCAGACACCAUGCAUGGAGCCCGCUGGUCAGUUUGUGAUGGUGUGAGAACUCGGUUUUGGCUUGACUGCUGGGUAACGAAGCAAGAACCUUUGAUAAAUUUUGCCCUCCAGCCGAUCUCUCACGAGAUUAUUAAUGCUACUGUGAGUGAGUUUAUAAACGAACACAGGGGCUGGAACUGGCUGAGAUUUGAACAUUUGCUGCCAAAUUACAUCCUCAUAUUGCAUCAGUUAGGCACUGACAAAAUUUACUGGAGUUUUGAUCCAAGAGGUGUGUUUACUGUCCGUUCAGCCUACGACUCCAUCUAUCGUCAAAACCUAGCCAUCCAAGAUGAAGCAUGGAGCUUAGCAUGGUCGUGGAAGGGACCCCAAUCUAUCCGCCUUUUUCUUUGGCAAAUUAUGCAUGGGAAGUUGAAGACUCAUGGUGAGCUGUCUCGGCGUCACAUUCCCGUGUCUAUGGCUUGUGAUAGGCGUGGGGCAUUGGUUGAGGACAUUCUACAUGCAUUGAGAGAUUGCCAUUGUAUUAAACGGGUUUGGCUGCGACUUGUUCCAGAGGGUGAUUAUCACUCUUUCUUUCACAUUAAUUUACGGGAUUGGAUUGUAGUUAAUCUUCAGAACAAGUUAAAGUUCGUUUCCCACAUUCAUUGGGAGUGUGUUUUUGGAGUGGCCGUUUGGAGAUUAUGGUUCUGGAGAAAUCAUUUCAUGGUCGAAGGAAAAUUGGUGGAUAGCUCAGCAAUUAAUAUGGAUAUUAUGGCCAGAGCAAAUGAAAUUCAUAGAGUGAAUAAUUCUCACAUGAGUCAGCAACCGAGGAGAAAAGAGAUGCUUAUCGGCUGUCAGCCUCCUCCAUGGCCUUGGUGUAAGUUAAAUACGGAUGGAUUUGUUAGAAAUUCAUGGGAUGUAGGGGCUGGUGGUGUUAUUCGUGAUUCAGUUGGUCACUGGAUUUCGGGAUUUUGUAUGAAUAUUGGGGAGUGUUCGGUGGUUAUGGCUGAGCUAUGGGGUCUAUAUCAAGGUUUAAUCCUGGCGUAGGAUGCUGGCAUAAAACGUCUUUUGGUGGAAGUGGACAGUCUGUGUGUUUCACAGAUGAUUUCUAAGCAGGUGGUCGUGCCUAAUGCUUUUUAUGCUCUAGUUGUUGCUAUCCCGAAACUUCUAAGCAGGAACUGGCAAGUUUCCCUCACUCACAUCUUUCGUGAAGCGAAUUCAACUGCGGAUUUCAUGGCUAAUAUGGCUUAUUCAGUCUCUCAUGGGUUACAUUUAUUUACUAGCCCGCCUGUGGUUAUUUAUUUAAUUAUAUUGCAAGACAUGUUUGGGGUUGCUCAACCCCGUAUUGUUCCGGUUUAGCUCGAAUUUGAGCCCAUUUUAAUCAAAAAAAGAAAAAGAAAAAAAGAAAUUGACUUAUUAAUUAAUUAACAAUUAUAGAAAGAAUAAAUAGAAAAUUAUAAUGGCGAACCUUGCUUGUUCUUUGCCUCUUGGGCUUAUGGUGUACCCUUGUCCCCCGCUGGGGGUUUCAUCCAUUCUUCUGUAUGAUUCUUACGGGGUUGCGACUCCUCGUUCGGUUGUUUUUUAGCUCUUAAUUGAGCCCCAGUUGAUCAAAAAAAAAAAAAAAAAAUUAUAGUUGCGUGAGAAAACUCUCGUGAAAAGGGCUCCGGAUUUCCUUUCCCUGGCUUCGUGCGUUUCCUUUUGCCCUUUCGAGCACGAAUUCGAAUCCAGUACUUUAUAAUAAAGAUAUAAUAUUAAAAAAUAAGAAAAAGAAUCCAAAUUUUUACUGGUAUAUAACGCAGAGCCAAAGCGAUAGCAAAACAUCAAAUUGUUUUUAUUUCAACCUUCGCGCAACUUCCGGUGACAUAAUUUUUAUCUGUUUCAGGUAUCGUUCUUGUUUUUUUGUUAUUCAUUCACAUAUCCUUCUUUUCUUUUCUUUUUUGCUGUAUUUUGUUUAUGAAACGCUCUGUUUCAGUUUUGUUUCUGGUUUUGUUUCAGUUUAACAUUAUUGGUUCGGUUCUGUUCUACGUCGUAUGUAUAUAUGUAUAUAUUUUUGGCCUCGAAUUGCUUUGAUCACCGGUUUUGUUAUUCAUUUAUCGUGAAUUUUAGAUGACUUGUUUGGCCAUGUAUUCACUUGAUUAUUACAUUCAGCUGCCAUUUUCAUGGUGGGUUUGUAAGAUAGUCUCUGACUAGCAUACGACAUUGAUCAUGAAUGAUGGUUUUGUUAGAUACAUCAUACGGAUGUUAACUCGUAUUAUUGUGUACUUACUUCAUUCAAAAGAUUAGUGUUUCUCUCUCUCUCAAUUUUUUUAAGAAAAAAAAUGAAAUGCCCCUUUUCGCAUUUUAUAGGUGAAAGGAAGAAACAUAAUAUCGCAGUGUCAAGGAAGCUCAUAAUGUAUGGAAGGAUGCAGCACACGUGUGAGAUGAAUACAGUCAGCUGAAGUUAGUUAGACACGUUAAGAUCAUAUUCAAUUAGCUUCUUUAUUUUCUGUUAAGUUGUAAACAGCUGAGUAUAAAUACAAGCAUCUUGUAAUCAUUUCGUUGUUAAGAAAAAUGAAAUAAAGCAUUUGAUUCAGAAGUCUUUUACAAAUUUUCUUAGCACUUUAAAUACAUUUUCUCAGUAACCAAACAGUCUGUUCAUUCAAGCUUUUAAGCUUUCAAACAUGGUAUCAGAGCCAUACAGAGCUAGUUCCAGUAAUCAACAGUCAAGCUUUCGUAAUCAAACAACAAACAACACAAAUCAAUCUACUCAAAUCAACUUCUCCUUUACUAAUCCUAUCAAGCUAGAUCGAUCAAAUUACUUACUCUGGCGCUUUCAAGUUUUAGCCUCAAUAAGAGGCAAUCGUUUGGAAGAUUUCGUCACAGGAGCCAAAUCAGUACCUGAUAAGUGUCUUCUGUUAACUGAAGUAGAUGGAUCUACACAACAAAUUGAAAAUCCAGAAUAUCAGAUCUGGAGAUCACAGGAUCAGACACUUCUUGGCUGGCUACUGUUGUCAUUAAGUGAAGGUAUCUUAAGUCUUGUUAUCAAUUGUGAAAGUUCAUUUGAUAUAUGGAAAACUUUGGAAAAGAAAUUUGGAGUUCAAUCUGAAGCUCGAGUUCUUCAGCUCAGAUAUGAACUAAACACUCUUAAAAAGGAAGCUCUUAGUGUUUAAGAUUAUUGUAUUAAAAUGAAAGCAAUAACUGAUAAGCUAGCCAGUGCUGGUAGUUCAAUUACAGAGAAGGAUCUUAUGUUAACUAUUCUUAAUGGAUUAGGACCAGGAUUUCGUGAUAUUGCUACAUUUAUAACUGGUUCACGAAUGGAAUUUGAUGAUGCUUAUGCACUGUUACUCACUCAUGAGACUAGAUUAGAGCAGGAGAAAGGUGACAGAAGUAUGUUUAAUGCAAACUAUGCAUAUACGAAUGCAUAUUAUCCUAGAGCUUAUUUUGCACAGCCUAGAGGAAGUUUUAAACGAGGAGGUUAUUCUGGUGGUAGAACUCCUUUCUUUGGCAGAGGAAAUAUGAAUUACUCUCCAAGAAUGUUUAAUGGAGGUGUUAGAAAUGGAUAUUGCAGAGGAUUUUUUCCUGGAAAUAACUCAACUGAUUUCAAUCAUUUUUCAGCUCCUAGGAAUCCAGUACCUAGGAACUCAUCCUUUCUAGCUAGAAAUGGUGCUAAUAUGAGUGGAUCACAAGGAAGCUUUAAUAAUGCUAGGGAGCUGGUAUGUCAGAUUUGCUUUAAGAAUGGUCAUACUGCUGAUGUCUGUUGGCACAGAUUUGUUGAAGACUUUGUACCUAUUCCAAGAGGUUUUGGCAGGGGAAAAACACCAAGAGCAGCAUAUUUCUCAAACUUUGAUGGCCCUACUUCUAAUCCAGAUUUUGGCUAUGAAAAUAAUAAUAUGUUUCCAGGUUAUGAUUCUAUAUCUGGCAAUAGUUACUAUUCUGGAAUGGAUGGAUACACUUCUGGAGCAGUUGGAACAGCUUUCAUGGCUAAUUUUGAAGGAACUGCUGAUGAUAGAUGGUAUCUGGAUAGUGUGGCAACUCACCAUUUAACCAACAAUAUGGAGAAUUUGCAGAUCAAUGAAGAGUUUAAAGGUACUGAUCAGCUUAUCAUUGGAAAUGGUCAAGGUUUGUCUAUUACUCAUGUUGGACAUGCAUUUCUGGUAUUAAGAGCUUCUAAAUCUUUAUCUAUACAUGCUAGAAUAACACUUAAAGAUGUGUUAUUUGUUCCUUCAAUUACCAAAAAUCUAUUAAGUAUUUCCAAACUCACAUCUGAUAAUCUUGUAUCUGUUGAAUUCUGUGGAAAUGUUUGUUUUGUAAAGGACAUGAAGGGUCAAGUUCUUCUGCAGGGUAUUGCUGAAAAAUGCCUUUACAAGCUGCUGCUGAAAUCUAAUUCUCUUUCUUCAUCACCUACAUCUUAUCUUUGUAAAUCCCAGCCAAAUAAACCAGUUUCUAUGUUAUCUGCUUUCAAACACUGUGAUAAUGGUACUCGAGCUUGCUAUCAAUCUGUUUUAAAUAAGUGUAAUGUCAAACCUGAUAUGAUAACUUUGUUACAUAGAAAGUUUGGUCAUCCAAGCUCAAUGACAUUGGUGCAUUUGCUCAAAUCAUGUAAACAGUUUAAAGUCUCUCCAAAAGACAUGUUAUCUUCUGCAAACACUUUAUGUGAAGCAUGUCAGCUAGGCAAAGUCCAUAAGCAACAUUUCUCAAUAACUGAAACAAAAACAAAAGGGGUAUUAGAAUUGAUUCAUACUGAUCUUUGGGGGCCUUCACCCACUGUGUCUAGAGAUGGAUACAAAUACUACAUUAGUUUUGUGGAUGAUUAUACUAGGUAUUCUUGGAUCUAUCCUCUUAAGCUCAAAUCACAAGCAUUUGAAGUUUUUAAAUUGUUCAAAACUCAAGUUGAGAAUCAGUUUGAUACCAAAAUUAAGAAGCUACAAUCUGACCUUGGGGGAGAGUUUAGAGCAUUUACUGAUUUUCUGAAUCAAAAUGGAAUAAUGUUUAGACACUCAUGUCCUUACACUCAUCACCAAAAUGGUUUUGUUGAGAGGAAACACAGGCAUAUAGUUGAGCUAGGCUUAACCCUCAUGGCUCAAGCAAACCUUCCUCUUCAAUUCUGGUGGGAACCUAUUCAUACAGUAGUGUAUCAUAUUAAUAGAUUGCCUACCCCUGUUCUGAAAUUCUUAUCUCUUUAUGAGAAACUUUUCAAACACAAACUAGAUUACACAUUCCUGAAGUGUUUUGGUUGUCUUUGCUACCCAUACUUGAGAGAUUUUAACAAACAUAAGUUUGAUUUUCACACCUCUAAAUGCAUUUUUAUUGGAUACAAUCCCUCUUAUAAAGGAUACAAGUGCUUAGCAAGUUCUGGCAAAGUCUAUGUUCUUAGACAUGUCAUUUUUGAUGAAAACACAUUCCCUUAUCCAAUAAACACUACAUCUCACACAUCAGAAAACUCCAUAUCUUCUGAAACCUCAGUGUCUAAUUUCUCUCAACAACAUAUCUAUCAUCUUUCUACAAUGGCCUUACCCAACAGCAGCUUUGAAGGUCUUCAAUCAGCAGGCUCAGCAAGAAGUGAACAAAUGUCCUCUGUUCCCACACAUACAGAUAUUCUGAAUCAACAAGAACAUCCAUCACACACAUCUUUAGAGUUAUCAUCCUCAACCUCACCAUCACCAAACACAUUACCAGUACAAUCAUCCAUUCUACAAUCAGAGGAAACUUCUAUUCCACAGAACAUAGACCAAAUUCAAACCAGAAAUCAUUCCCAACCAUCUUCUCAUCCAAUGAUUACCAGAUCAAAAUCUGGAAUCUUCAAACCAAAGGUCUAUACAGUCACCUUAGCCAACAAAGAACCUAGUACAGUUCAAGAAGCUCUUAGUAGUCAGAAUUGGCAUCAAGCCAUGGUAGAUGAGUAUGCAGCUUUGAUAAAGAAUGAGACUUGGUCACUGGUACCAUUUUCAAAUGCAUACAAAGUAGUUGACAAUAAAUGGGUGUUUAGACUUAAGCAAAAUACUGAUGGAAGCAUAGUUAAACACAAGGCCAGGUUGGUUGCCAAAGGUUUUCAGCAAACUGAAGGUGUGGAUUACUUUGAGACCUUUAGCCCAGUUGUAAAAGCUUCAACAGUAAGGAUUGUUCUGAGUUUAGCUGUGAUGCAUAAAUGGAAAAUAAGGCAAGUGGAUGUGAAUAAUGCAUUCUUGAAUGGAGACUUGACAGAGGAUGUCUAUAUGUAUCAGCCUGAAGGUUUUAUUGAUCAACAAAAACCCAAUCAUAUAUGUAAGCUGAAGAAGGCCUUGUAUGGCUUGAAGCAAGCUCCUAGAGCUUGGUAUGACAAGCUUAAGAAUUGUCUUAUUGCUAAUUGGAAAUUUCAGAAUUCAAAGGCUGAUACCUCUCUCUUCUUCAAAGAAGUGCAGGGUUCAAUGAUACUUAUCUUAAUCUAUGUUGAUGACAUUCUAAUAACAGGACCUGAUAAUGGUGAGCUGGAAAAAUUCAUCUCAGAAUUCAGUAAGACUUUUUCCUUAAAAGACUUAGGGAAUUCUGUCAUAUUUUCUGGGGAUAGAAGUUUCCUAUGCUGAAGACUGCAUCUAUUUAUCUCAGAAGAAAUAUAUCUUGGAUUUGUUAUCCAAAGCUGAUAUGCAAAAUUGUAAAGGCUGUGACACUCCCAUAGUUACUGGAACAAAGCUUCAGAAAGAAGUCAAAGGCUGUUUGGGUCAAUAUAUUGAGGAUGCAACAAGCUAUAGAAGCUUAGUUGGAGGUUUACAAUAUCUGGUAUUAACCAGACCAAAGAUAGCAUUUGCUGUGCAUAAGUUGAGCCAGUAUGUGACAGCUCCAACACUCCAGCAUGUUAUGGCUUGUAAAAGAGUUCUUAGAUACCUUAAGGAAACUGCAGAUCAUGGUUUGAAGUUUUCAGCAGGUGGAGAAAUGAAGAUCACAGGAUUUACAGAUGCAGAUUGGGCAUGUGAUGUUGAUGACAGAAAAUCAAUAGGAGCAUAUUGCAUUUAUUUUUGGAAACAAUCUAAUUUCAUGGUCAUCCAAGAAGCAGGCUAUGGUUACACGAUCCAGUGCAGAGAGUGAAUAUCGUGCUCUGGCUUCUGCAAGUGCAGAGAUAACAUGGAUCCAGUCAUUAUUCAGUGAACUCAACAUUAAGUGUACUUCAUUACCAACUAUCUGGUGUGAUAAUAUAAGUGCAACAGAGUUGGCCAAGAAUCCAGUUUAUCAUUCAAGGACAAAACACAUUGAACUGGAUAUGCACUUUAUUAGAGACAAAGUUUUGGCAAAGGAGUUGGAGAUUAACUAUAUUCCCAGCGAGGAGCAAAUUGCUGAUGCUUUGACAAAGCCUCUGACAUUCAUUCAUUUCAAUUAUUUCAGAGACAAACUCAAUGUGCAACCAUGCCCCUUGAGUUUGAGGGGGGCUGUCAAGGAAGCUCAUAAUGUAUGGAAGGAUGCAGCACACGUGUGAGAUGAAUACAGUCAGCUGAAGUUAGUUAGACACGUUAAGAUCAUAUUCAGUUAACUUCUUUAUUUUCUGUUAAGCUGUAAACAGCUGAGUAUAAAUACAAGCAUCUUGUAAUCAUUUCGUUGUUAAGAAAAAUGAAAUAAAGCAUUUGAUUCAGAAGUCUUUUACAAAUUUUCUUAGCACUUUAAAUACAUUUUCUCAGUAACCAAACAGUCUGUUCAUUCAAGCUUUUAAGCUUUCAAACACGCAGAACUAGAAUAAAGGAGCCUAUUCUGGUACCUAUUGUCCAAGAAAGCUUCUGUAUAUUCAGUAGGAACUACCAUGGAAGUCAAAUCUUACCAGAGCCAGGCGGAGUCGUUGCUGAAGGAAUAUAUAUUAGCAGAUCCAUUUCUCCCGUACACUUCAAUUGUUGGUAGCAUUUUUGCUUGCACGAUGGUAUGUUUGUCAUCGUUACUGCGUGGUGGUAUUUACUAGAAAAUAUUUUGAAUGCGUAGUUUUCAUCUAAUUAGUUAUAAAUUUUAUACCCUCUGUUUUCCAUAAGAAUGUGUUCCUUUUCAGGUCUAUGAUCUUGCCCAAUUGAUUAGUGUGCUGAUAACUUUAAAUCUGAUUCCAGUUUCUCCAACAUACAGCGGGUCGAGUGGAGUAACAGGUGAUUGAAAAUUUUCAUUUAGUCCAAUUGUCAUUUCUUUCUCAAUCGGUAAAAUUUAAUCAUUUUUCUUAAAUCGACAACUUAUGCCGGGCCAUAUCAACUGUCCAUGACAUUUUUAUUACAACGAUGUCUUUGUACUUUGUGUUUUGGUCGAAUCUCAGAGUUUGUGCAUAGCACACUUGGUUCUACUGUUUGUUUGUCCCUUCAUAGACAUUUUGAUAAACUGUUAUUUUUGUUCUUUGGAAGUGAAUAUUUUCAGCAACUAGAACUCCGAAGCAUCUGGAGUGAUCCAUUUUGUCAUUCGCAAUACCUAUAAAAGAAUGUCAUAGAAAACAGUUUCCAAAGCAAGUUGCAUGUGUUUUGAAUUUGUCUUUGCAAGCCACUAAUUGCUUGGAGCGCACUGUUAGCCUGUCGUGAUCCCAUCCACUUUUUUGGAUAGACAAUUGUGCAUCCAUAUGAUCUGGACUAAACUAGUUUCUAAUAAAUAAUUGCCCAAGGAUUUAGUCUCAGUGUUACAGCCCAGUCUUUGUUGUCAAUACUCUUUCCCCUGUCGUGGAUGAGCGCCAUAACAGCUUCUUAAUGUUUUGCAGUGGCUUUUGCACGGUUGUUGUUUCCUUCUGAAGCUAGAGUAGCUACGGAUAGAGCGGAUGCAGAUGCCACCAAUUUUUAUACUGGCCUUUCAGCAUCAAAAUCAAAAGGAUCAAGUGGGAACUUAAAGGAGGUUGAUUUGAAUGAAACACCCUCCAUGCAAGCCAAGAGACUCCAAUUAAGAUUGCAAGCUCUGCUUAAAACAAGUAUUCAUAUACCUUAUUAGUUUUUGUACCUUUACAAUUUGUGAUUUUUGUAUCAAAAGAGAGAGGUUAAUUUUUAGUACAUUGAUAUCUCGACAAACUGUUAGAACCUUUGCACCACUAGAGACAUUUUCUUAGAGCAUUUACUGAACCUUCUAUGAUUGCAGUGGAGAUAGGUCGACGCUACUUCCCUCGUUGCUCAGAAGUGGUUGAUAAAUUUUAGGAUUGUGAUUGGUCCGAUGCUUCCCUCCUAGAAAAAGGGUACUCCUAAAGAGCAGAGACUCAAAAGGGCACGCUUCAUGGAACUUAAAGAAGACGUGAAGAAGGCAUUUUACAAGGACAUGGCUGAGAAAAAAUGGCUCAGGUUUGUAGUCAUCCUCGUCAUCGUCAUCUUCUCCGAAGGACGGAGUAAAGUGUAAGGGUAGGAAAAUGUGAUGCUUAUCUGCUUGUCUUUGUUAUUCAUUUACAGGCAACUAAAAGAGUUUUAGUGAGUUGGAUUGUUACUUGUAGAGAGAUACUCUUCGAGCCUAUGUUAUGGCUUAUGUUGUAUAAUAGCAGAGGAACUUCAAGCUUGCGUUGUUGUAUUUUCCCUGGUAUUUGGCAUGUGAUGCACUAAAUGACAAAGAAUUUUCUAAUUUUAGAGGGGAAAGUUAUGUCAGUUAAUUAUUUAUUUAUUUUGUCUGUUUAAUUCAGUUUACACAGCGCUUUUUUUUUUCUAAAAAAAUCUUCAUAUCUCCAUCUGCAAUUUAAGUCAUUCUUAACUUGUUUCAGGAUGGGGAACAAAAAAAAAAAAGAGAAAAUGAAAAGAAGCAUUUGUAAGUAUAUUUUACAGUACUGAUUUUCCUAUAGAAAUUGGUUAAUGUGACAUUAAUGUUCUUUGAGAUAGACGGAUAUACAGAUUUUUCGUCGAAAUUGAAAUUAGAAAUGGAUGGAUAUGCAGAAUUUUUUAAUAGAAUUUUUAUACAAAAAUUUGUAGCUCAUUACUCUCUAAAAGGAAAAAAUAAAUUUUUGAUUGUAAAUAUUAAAUUUUAAAUUUAUAAUAUAAUAACUUUGUGAGUUAAGGUGCACAAUACCCAUAUAUUAAUAAUUAAGAAAAGAAAAAAAAAUUAAAAUUUGUAAAUUACCAAUUUUUUCUUGAAAUUUGAUAUUCUAUAUUAACGUAGGUGUUGCAUGGACUGGGUUAGUACAAUUGAAAGAAACUAACUAAAGUAAAACAAAAUAUCAUUAAAAAUAUGGCAAGCUUCUCAUAUUUUUUAAGUGAAAAAGAGAAGAAAACUAAAAUUAGUUAUUUUUAUACCCAAAUUCUAGUGCUUGAAGGCCGCUGGAAUUGACCAUUGCAGUUUUGUCAUCCUCAUUAUUCACCGGCCAUCGUGGCCUUCCUCCAUUAAAAAAAUAAAUGAUCAUUUUUUUGGACCACGACAUAUUAAAAAUAGUAUUGAUUAAUACUAAUAAAUCUCUUUUUUUAUUAUUUUGCAGUGCAAUAGUCCAGUGAGGGCAGUGCCCAUCGUAGCACUUGAACAUGUGGUAAAUUUCUGCCAGUCUUUGUAAAAUAAUUUUUAAAUUAUGUAUUAACCAGAUAGCUCAAUGAAAACUAUCGUUCACUAAAUCAUUACUUUAUUUUGUAUAUAUUUAUGGUAAUUGUUGAAAAGAAAAAUGUAAAGUGAGAUUAAUGAACGUUUAUGAAUGUGGAAAUUAACACAACCAGGAUUUAUGAUAAAAUAAUUUUAAGUCAAAUGAGCAUAAAUUUGUAUAAAUAUUUUUUGAAUUGUCAUAUAUAUACAAGUUUGUCACUAAUUCCUUACCUAAAUCAUGUACUAAGCAAACAGCAAAUAAGAUCGAAAAUCUUGUUGAAUAUUCCUAUGUUCCCGAGUCCGCCCAGAUCACUGAAUCUUCUUUACCUCUUAUCAGUCCAUACCAUCUGUAUAAAAAAACCAUCUUCUUUUACUAAAACCAUCAAAACCCUGAUUUCUACCAAACGCCCCUCUCCUAAAGAGUAUAUCCAGUCAUCUAAACUAGAUCAGUGUGCUUUAAUGGCUACUGCAGCUGAACAAUAUGUGACACUUGAGAUACCCCCAGAAGUAAUCUCUACAUGGAAAAGAAAAGGCUAUACACAUCUUCAUCUUGCAGGUGUUCGCCUUAUCCUUACUCUCAAUGGGAGAAAGGGUCUACCCGUCACAGCCCGAAUUGCUUUGCUUGACACCAGGUUUAAGCAAUAUCAGCAUGCCAUUAUUGGCACAGUUCUUACUACUCUCUCUGCCGGAAAUGUUUUGCUUACAUUCUAUCCUAAUUUCAAUCUUUCUCUUCUUGACUCUAAUCUUUUCAAAGUAGGUUUUAAUGGUGUUCAAAAACAUAACAUCACAUUAAGGAAUCAUUCUUUUAUUGUUAUCCCCAAAAAAAGUUCACCUUCACCAACCCCCUCAUUUACCCUUCUUCUCAGCUAUCCUUUGGCGUAUCUCCAUUUUAAUAGGAAGUAUUAGCAUAUCUCCCACUUUUCUCCCCUGCCGUUUGUAUACCGUUUCAUAUUGUUAAUGGACGAAGCUACAAGUCUUCUCUUUCAUCAAAUCGAUCCAUAACAAAUACGAGUCUGCUUCACCUAACCAAAACACACACAUACUCCAUCUCUAAAUGCUUUGAAGAUAAACAAAUCAACGGUAAUCCUGCAACUUUAGCUCAGAGAAUCGGAUAAGAAAAGAACAGGCGAUGAAUCAAGGGUAAUGGCGCCGAGUGAGUGUCGCCUGCGGUCGGCGUUAGAGGCGACUGUCACUCAAUCGCGUACAAGGUUAGUCUUUGAAAAAACUCUUUGCACGUUAGAAAUCAGUGAUUGGGCAUUAUUUUGUUAUUUAAAAUGAAAAUGGGUUUGUUGAUGUGUUGAAGAAGUUUCUCUACUGCUGGUGUUUUUUUAUUAAUUAAAAUGAAAAUGGGUUUGUUAAUUUAUUGAAGCAGCUGCUGGCAUUGUUAUUGUGACUUUAUUUAUCCAAUUGAUGAGCUUAUGAGCUAAUAGUAUUGUUUGAUCAAGCUUGUGUUCUUAAUAGUGGAGUUGAUAUUCUUAAAAUGAAUUUAUGAUUAUGAGAAUAUGAAAAUUGAAUGGCAUCGUAGAGAUCUGGAUUAAUCACCAUCGUAUAUGUUUCUAAAUAAAGGAAUAAGCAGCAACCGAUUUGAAAGUUAAGACUUUAGGGAUAUGUAUGUGCAACUGAAUGAAUCAUCAGUUGCUAUCUUGUAAGUCAGUGCUAGCAUAUUACCUAAUGGCAAGUGAAGCUAUUUUAUGUGUAUUGCUGCCUAUCAAAAUGUUUAUGUUUGAAGUUUUCUCCUUUUGGGAAAUUGAAUGCUUCUGUGAGUUCUCUGGUAAGGGCUAUACAACUAUCUCUAAUAGAUUCCUUCAUGUGCAUUAAUUAGCUUAGUAGUUUAUUGACCUAUAUCCAAUGUCUAUUCUCCUUUUCUGUAGCCGUCUAGUUUUAUGAGUGUGUGAAGUGAACUUUUGUUUUAUGUUUCAGGACUUGGGAUUAGAGUGUAUAACAUUCAAUAUCUUUAUAUCAAAGAACUGAUAUAUGUCAAUGUAGUGCGAUCUGGUCUUUAUUAGCUUCUUGAUUUGCCAGGAUGUUUGACAACCAUCUUUGACCAUGAUUGCCAACAUAUAAGCUGCUACAUAGUGUCUCAGGAAUCACAGCAAAUUAUUAUCAUAAUAUGGUGAUUUUGAAUCCAAAACUUGGUAGUGUCAAGAAAAUAGACCCAUGUUUAUUUAUCUUCAUGUUUUGUAUGCGCCUGCAAUAGACUAUUAUAAGUUACUUUUAGUUUUGUCAAUUUUUUUUCCCUUAAAUGUCAGUUAUUUCAGCGGUUUCUUUUAACUGAGUUAAUAGUGUUGUUAGGUUAAACUAAGUUUGGCUUCAUAAGCUUCAUAGUAGAGUGUAGAAUUGGGUAUAAUUUUGGAUUAGACAAGUCAAAGGUCUUAUCAAGUAAUUGUUCUGCUUACUGAUUUGGUAAUUGCAACAUUGCUAAAUAGUUCAAUUUGUCCUUUUUAUUUUGUUGAAUUUAUUGUAUGUCAUAUUACUUAAUUUAAUUAUUUUCUCAGAUCUUGUAGGUGAAAAUUUCAGCUUCAAAGACCAAAGCUAAUCAUCCAGCAAUUCAGUGAAGAAACCAAGACACAGUGGCUCAUAAAUUGUUGUUGGUGAUCCCAGCCAUUCGGGUGCUCGCCAGUCCUAGAUGAGAAACCUUUCAACGCGGCGCAUAAAUUGUUGUAGAGCUGCUUUAUAUAUUUUGACCUUUGUGAUUUGUGAAUACAUGGUUUGAUUCCAGUGUUUACAACUUUGAAAUUCAAUUAAAAGUUGAGCUGUCAUUGAUUGAUGACAAGAUUGUGUUGUAUAACUUGAGAAGCAAAUGAAACAAACAGGAAAUAUGUUUUUUUAUUUUUUUAAUCUAUCUAUCUAUUUAUUUUUUGUUUGGAAAUGUUACAAUUUAUAGCUGGCAAAGUAAUAGAGUUGUAUACUUGUAUUUAAUUUAUUAUUAUUAUUAUUAUUUUAAUGACUCGGUAAUGUCAUUGUCCGUGGUGUUUUGUCAUUUCGAAAGUACUUAACCCUUCCACGCUAAGGCACAUUACCGCAGCCGAAACUUUGAGCUUUCAGUUCUUGAUUUUAGCGUGAGGGGUAUCUUUGUCUUUUCAGUAGUCAACACACGGUCAACAAAACAGUGUACAAACAAUCGACCUGUGAACUUGGGUCAAAGCUUUCAUCUUUAAAUCACAUAGGUAGAUCAUGAUUCAAGCUUCAGUUAUAAGCCUUUCAUUGUGAUUGAGGUAAUUGUGUUUCACUGCUAUUUGUAUUGCUUAAAUUUAUGCUUCUUGGUAUAGUUUUAACAUAUAUGGGAUUGAAAUCAAUUUCAGUUGUGAAGCAACUCCGGUGGUUCCCAAUAUUAGGCAUUGUAGUAGAUCCAAAAUUAGCUUGUUAAGAAGUGUAGAUACCGUAGAGCCCAAAACUCCGUCUUAUCUUGCAAGAGUCUGUUGUUUUAUUUUGAAAGAGACAAAAGUGAUGAUGAUGGGCAGCGAACUCUAGGAAUCAAUGCUUGCUGACACUGACCCCCAAGAAUCAAUGAGUCUGAAUUUGAUAAGUGCACCUAUCCUAUCACAAAAGCUUUUGCGUUGAGUUUCUAACCAAUUUUCAUUUGGGUAGGUGUCAGUUCAUGCUCUGGCUUGACUGUUCUGUUAUUUAGGUUGUUUUAUCCGUAUUUUCUUCACUCACUUGAUGGUUAGUUCUCUCAUGCUUUCAAGCUCUCAACAGUGAAUGCGAGAGAUUCUAUUUUUCCCGUCCAGUCUAUAACCUAGCAAAUCAUUAAUGCUGUAGAAUAGCAUCUUGUGUAGCCGAGUUUAUGUCUCUGAACAUUGGUCCAUCGGCAUUUAGGUUCAAUAAGCAUCUUGAAUUUUGAAUAUAUUAUUCUGAAUCAAAACCCUAUCUGUCCGUGUAGCAUUUUUUAUAUGCUUUACGAUGUUUACCAAUAAUUACCCACUAUGGGGUAUUUGAAUUUUGAAUAUAUUAUUCUGAAUCAAAACUCUAUCUGUCCGUGUAGCUUUGGCUUCUGAACUUGGUUGAGAAGGCUCUUGUGGAAGAUGUAAUCCCAAUUCUCGUGGCUGCCUUGCAUUGCCAACUGAACCACCUCCGUUCUUUCUGCAUCCAGAGAAUUGCAAAGUCAAAUCUUGACAAUGUUUGUCUCGAGAAAGAGCUUCCUGAUGAAGUUUCAAGUGAAAUCAAAUCACUCCGUGUCAAAUCUAACCAGGAGUCUGAAGCUAAUAUAGCAGAAGUGGAUCCUAUGCAUGCAAAAAUAGUCAGAAGAAUCCACAAGGCGCUGGACUCUGAUGACGUUGAACUGUUGAAGCUUCUUCUGGAUGUAUCUAGUGUCACUCUGGAUGAUGCUUACGCUCUGCACUAUGCUGCUGCCUACUGCAACCCUAAGGUUUUUAAGGAAGUGCUCAAUAUGGGCUCGGCUGGUCUCAAUCUUAAGGAUGCAAGAGGACAGACGGUCCUUCAUGUGGCUGCAAGGCGUAAUGAGCCAGAAGUGAUGGUGACUCUGCUGAGCAAGGGAGCAUGCGCAUCAGAAACUACAUCAGAUGGGCAAACAGCUGUAGCAAUCUGUCGGAGAAUGACAAGGCUAAAGGAUUAUCUUGAAGCUACAAAGCAGGGGCAGGGAACUAACAAAGACCGGUUAUGCAUUGAUGUCCUUGAGAGAGAGAUGAGAAGGAACUCCAUGUCUGAGAACUUGGCAAUGCCAUCAGAGGUGAUGGAUGAUCAUUUCCAAGCGAAGCUGGACUAUCUAGAAAAUACAGGUGAUAUUUCUUUACUGGUAUUAG